UUGGAGAUUUGCCUGAGGACUGUGUGGCUUUGGUACUGUCGUACUUGGAUCCACCAGAAAUUUGCAAAUUGGCCAAGCUGAAUCGGGCGUUUCGCGGGGCUUCUCGGGCUGAUCUCGUUUGGGAGCCCAAGUUGCCCUCCAAUUAUUGUUUGGUUAUCGAGAAAGUGUUUAAGGAUUUUCCCGAAAAUUUGUGUAAGAAAGAGAUUUAUGCCAGAUUGUGUCAGCCUAACCCCUUUGAUGGAGGCACAAAGGUACAAGUUCUUUUUCCUUUUAUUUUCUCUUGUUGGGCUCUCAGAAAAUAUAAGGAAAAAAAAAAAGGAAUAUCAUUAUCCUUGGAUUUUUAAGUAUUUGGGAUUUCCUUUUAUUUUCCUGGGUUUUCCCGGCAACCGAAGUGGGAUGUGUUGUUUCCUAUUUGAUGAUGACGAAUUUUAGAAUUUGGGUUUUCUUUUGCAGAAGGCUUGGCUGGAUAAGAGAACAGGCGGUGUCUGUUUGUCAAUCUCUUCAAAGGGAUUAGCAAUCACCGGAAUCGAUGAUCGGAGAUACUGGACCUACAUUCCAACUGAAGAAUCCAGGUGAGAUUGAUGGAUUUCAUUACGAAUUCCUUGGAAUAGAAAUUUUUUAUUGAUUCGUUGAAUUCCAUUUCGUAAACGAUUUUAUCUGCUUGGAUGCUAGUUUCUUUGAUCUGCAUAAUAGUUGUUCUUCAACGUUGUUUGAACUUGUUAUAAACCAUUGCCAGAUUCUAUAUCUUAGUUUUGGGUUCAUUGACAUGUUUAAUAUAUCAUUGAUCCUGUUGAAGUGAUUUCAAGAAAUCAAAGAACAUCUGCAAUUGGGAAGGUUAAAAAAUUUGGAAUCUUGAUGUUCAUUUGUUUGUACUUGGAUAUCGAAAAAAAUAUCUUUCAGGUUUCUCACUUAAGAAAAUAGACUUUUAGUUAGUUCCCAUUGUGUACAGCCUGUAAUCAACAAAAAUAAAUGAAUUCAAGCAGUAUCAUUGAUGUAUGAAAACAAAUAAUAGAUAAGAAAAUAAAAUGAUGAGCAAUUAUUAAAAGAAGUAAAUAAUCUUUGGCACUUUAAUCAAGAUGGAGCUUUUGAGUGGCUUGCAUGUCUAUGUUUGAUUUUGUCGAUUGGUUAGGCUGCCAGUAAGGGGAGGGAGUACUUUUUCCUAUCUCUUCUUGAUGUUUAUCUUUUUUUGCUUUGAAGCGCACUUGAAUACUUCCCGUGUACUUUGUGUGGCCUUUUUUGGCGCUUAUUAAUUUAUUGCUCUUUCGCCUAUUCAAGAAAAACAAAGAGUGGCUUGCAUUUGUUGAUGAUCAUGCCAUAUGAACAACUUUAGCUUAUGUCAAGUGUUGUGGAGAAGAUUAGGGUUCAUAAUCAGUGUUGCUGCCUAAUGCAUUUAAGAAAGACUUGCAAUAAUUGAUUGAAGAUUGAAAAGAACAAAGCAGAAAAAGUGUAUGGAAGAAAAGUUGUUGGUGUUUUAGCGUAUGGUGAUGGGAGUCCUAGAUUCUGUUAAUUGUUAAAUAGAGAUUAGAGGGCGACAUAGCAUUAUUGGAAAGUUCGAUUUGAAAUGCAAAUGUUUUUGGUUGAGAACAUGUAAAAGCAUAUUAAUAAAUAAGAGGACAAUUUUAUUCUUAUGGCAAUAGAAAGAGAACGGAAAUUUUGAAUCUUGAGAACCUUCUAAUUUUCUUAAUUUGUAUUUAGUUUGCAAGACCUAAGUGUUCUAACUGCAUGUUGGAAUCAACCUACUAGGUGGAUUUGAAUUGUGAUUUAGAAAGUUCUUGUUGAUAUCUGCCCAUAAUGACAUGUAAAGGAGCUUUAAAUAUGCAGUGUUUUGAUGUUUGUUGAAAUUAUGCUUUCUGUUGCACAUGUUCUUUUUCUCUAUCAGUGGACUUGCUGUUGCAAGCAUAGAUCUUUCUUACUACUGCAUUACAAGAUAAAAUUUACUUCUGUUCACCUAGUGAAAUGGGAGUACUUGAAUUGAUUUCUUCUCUCUGGGCAUGUAGGUUCAACACUGUUGCAUAUGUUCAGCAAAUCUGGUGGCUUGAGGUUGAUGGGGAGGUCGAUUUCCCAUUUCCAGCAGGAACUUAUAGCAUAUUCUUCAGGCUGCAGUUGGGGCGGGCUUCCAAGAGGCUUGGCCGUAGGAUCUGUAACCCCGAGCACGUACAUGGUUGGGACAUAAAGCCAGUGCGUUUCCAGCUAUGGACUUCAGAUGGUCAACAUGCCACAUCUCAGUGUUUCUUGGAUGAACCUGGAAGGUGGAUUCAGUACCAUGCAGCAGACUUUGUUGUUGAUAACUCUAAUGCACCAACAAAGAUUAAAUUCUCAAUGACCCAGAUCGAUUGCACACACACCAAAGGUGGUCUUUGUGUAGACUCUGUUCUGAUAUACCCAAGAGAAUUUAGGGAAAGGUUAAAGCAUUUUUGAAUCACACUUAACCUCUGUAGGUAGGAAGUUUUAUGUUAUAGAGGUAGGGCAUUUCUAAAAGAAAACAGAAUCAAAUACUAGUUGGUUCUUUCUGGCCUUGAAAUCAUUUGUAUGCACCAAAGGCUAUUUGUAAAUCUAUAUUUCUCUUAAGUAGCACCAUCCUAGUUGUGUGUAUUCCUUUUUCUCUCCAUUGUCAAUAGUUUCUUGUGAGGGACUUUGGGGAAGGGAGGCCAGUUGAUAUAAAUAGAAGGAAUCUGAUUCUUUUCUUUUUAGGUUUUUUCUCCAUGGUGCGAAGCAACAAAGUGCACCAUCGGUUUUUUUUUUUUUUUCCACAAAUGUUGGCUUUCCUCUCCCUAAAACUUGGUGCUUACCAAGUACGGCUCUAGGUGGACUAUACAUGUGAACCCACAAUGCUACCCGGCUUUGGAGAGAAGUCUAGGGAAAUUGGUUGGUGGAUUCUUUUUUUUAGGACUGUUUCGUGAUUAGGAGCUCAAAGGAGAUCUUUCUCUAGAAAUUUCAAGCGUGCACAAUUGAGAGAAAGGAGGAUGAUAGUUUGGUGUGGAAUGCCGCCAAAGGUGGCAAAUUCUCCAUCAAAUCCUUCUACCUUCCCCUACUCCAGGAAGAAUUCAUGGGUUACUUAGGAGGUGAGAUUUUUUGUUUGGGAAGCUUCUUGGAAGAAUUUUCACGACCAAUCAGCUUAAAAGGAGGGAAGGAAUUAUGCCCAAUAAAUGUUAUUUGUGUAAAAGAAAUGGAGAAUCUGGCAUAUUAUUUGCUCCUUCGUUAUCCUAAGCAAACGUAUGCUAUGACAGCUAAUUUCUCUUUGUUUGAUGUGACUUUAGGUUAUGCAUUCAAUUAAGUCGGCAUAGAAAUCUUUUGGGGUAAGAAACGAAAAGGGUUUGGAGGGUCAUUCCAUUGUAUGUGGUCGACUGUGUGAAAGGAGAGAAAUUAUAAAUGUUAGUUCAAAGGAGAGUUUAUUUUUUGUUUCUUUAUCUUGCCUAUUUCUUUGGGAAUACACAUUGGGUGUAUUUUAUUGAACCUUCUUGUAGGUGCAGGAAAAAAAAAUACACACAAUAAUAGGCAUCAUUAGUAUUAUAAACGAAUGCCGAAUUGCUAUUGGAAUAGUGUUCGAGAUGGAAAUAGCGAGUUGUAAUACUGGCUUCAAAAGAUGAUUCCGACAAACAAAUGCAUCGAAGUAGUAACUUGUAACUUGGUGGUCAUGGUCGUACAAUUUCUUCAGCAGCCCAUCGCCUUGUUGAAAUCACAAGCAUCAUGAAAUGUCCGUCCUUGCCCUGGUUCUGCAGCGUUUUGUUGCAUCUACAAACAAAACCGAUUCAUGCUUCUGGGAAAUACUAUGAUUUUUUUAUACACCUACAAUAAAUUCCUGGGCCUAAAAUAAAAUCAAAAUUACAAGUGAAACUUGAAAGGUUGUAUUGCUCAUCAAUAUACCAUUUAUAUUCCUGACAUUGUUACAUUUGCUUCUACAAGCCUACCAACAACUAUUAGUCUAUUACAACUAGAGCAGUAUACCACCCUGAGACCCCAUCAAAACUUCUUUAAGAAGGUCCUGUACAAACUGUGUUGAGCCACCAGCCCAAUAUCGUAGACCACCCAAAAAACUAAAACCUCCAAAAUGAACUACUUAUGCCUUCCAGCCAUAUUCCAUGCUCUCCUGGUCAGCAUUGAAGACAUCAUUCUCAUAGAGCCCGUGGGCCACAUCCUGGACCGCUUCAGGCACUGGCAAAUCUGGUUCCCUCUUUACGAGGCCAUUGUUCUCACUAGUCCCAGAAGACUUGCUGCUUGACGCAGCUUUAAAGCUUUUGUCCCUCCCGACAAAACUGCCCAACACAUUUGCUGGGGAGGCCACAGCUGCAGUGCUGUCUCUACAACCUAGCUCAUUCCGAACGACACUAGUUCCCCUGGCCUUUUUAGGUAAGCCACCAAUUGUACUUGUAUUAAUGCCGCAUAAGACUUCUUCCUCACCCCCAUUUGAAUUGUGUAACCCUUUUGCUCUGUUGUUGUUCAUCAUCUCCUGAAGUAACUUCUGGAUCAUGCAAUGCUGCGUAUUUUGACUGCCUUGAGAAGAAUGGAUACUCGAGGAGGAAUUAACUGGUGGGGGGAUCUGGAUGAGUCCAGGACUUGAGGAUUUAGGGCGCUGAACAGGUAAAGAAGAUGCACCUGGGAUAGAACUGUUGAACAAACAAGGUUCCUGUUUCACUGUGCUUGAAUUUGAGUUCAAGGAGCUUUGUCGCAUCAUUUUCUGGUACCGAGUGGUCAGUGCAAGUGCUCCCUCUUCUGAGCCUGUCAUAAGCCCACUGGAGAUAUCCCUCAAAUUAGAAGCCCUGUUGCUCGGGGAAUCUUGACCACUCUCUGGCUGCUCCCCGUGAUGCAGUUGUUUUUUCUUAAUCUUGACUGUGGUUGCUUCCCGAGGAUAAUUUUUCAAGCUCUCUGAAAAUGAGCAUUGGCAACAGAUAUAACUUGUAAGAAUCAAUAACGCAAUAACUUCACUGAAUAACAAGGUCAAUAGGCAAAUUUUAAUUAAUUAAUGAAUUUAAUUUUGUUCCUUGCUGUUGUACAAUGUCAUGCUCCGUUUAUAUGUGGUAACACAAAGGGUAAUAAAUGAGAACACGCAUGGUUGCCAAGCUGCUCUAGGAUUUAAAUAUUUUCCCCAUUUUUUGUCUUCUUGAACACAAAAAUGGUGCACUGAGUUUCAAGUGAUAGGAAGAUCCAAGUGGAUGUUAUUGUCACCAACUUCAUGUCCACAGCAAUAAAACAGAGAUAGGAUUAUUUCUUUUAUGUGAUUUUAGGAAGAAAAAACACAAAACAAAAUACAGAAACCACAUGUUUCAAGAUGGCAUCAGGAGACAGGGAAGCGAUGAACCACAUUCACAAAGCUAUAUAAACUAAAAAGCUAUAAUUUUCCUCUGAUGCCAGCCAAAUCACAUCUGGAAAGUAAACUCGCAAAAAGUUGCAUUACAAGAAGCCUGAAGUUGUAUUUAACAAAAAGGCCCUUGAAGAUGGGAAAUUUAAGGGCAACCCUGAAGGCUAGAUGAAAUCAAAAGAUAUUUCCUAGUAUUAACAAGCAGUAUGAGUUACCGAUUGGCCCAAUGUUGCUAUCCCUCACAAAAAUCAUCAAGUCUUUCAUACUAUCAACGACCUCAGCUAUCUGUUAAGAUUUACAAUUGAAAAGUAUAAAAACAUAAAAGAGAUAUAUAUGAGAAAAUGCUCCAGAUUCAAACAAAAGGAACUGCUCAGGUUUACCUGCAAGCAUCGAACAUAUCUUUUUGAAAAUCCCAACUCAUCUACCAACUGCAACUCCAAAUUUCUUGCAAGCUGAUGCCCAGCUCUCAGAAACCUACAACAAAAUACUUGGUAAAAGUCCAGAUCAAGUUUUAACUGUAUUAAUAUGGUCUUGCCUUUUUCUCCUUAAGAAGAUAAAGUAUGAUAUUAGCAAACUCUGACCCAAUGUCACCAGCCCAGCCAUACAUUUUAGACAAGUCUUCCACUAAAAACUUGUAUAAUCCAAAUUCAAACUAAUUAUAAAUUCUGACUUUAAGAAGAUUUCCUGCUAUGAUCUGUUGGCAUAACCUUGUCUUUUCAUGAGAACCAGGUGAUCCAGUGAUCACAUAGAGACCCAUAGACAAGGGAAUCAAAGCAAAAAAUUCAAGCAGAUUGCAUAGAGGGUUUAUUCGUACAUGUGGGAACAUUUCAGACUACCUAUGAAAAUGAAAUUAUUCUAUGGUAUUUCACAUGGCAUUUUAAACGAGUUCCUUCUGUUUUUUAUACAGCAUUUGUAAUGAGGAUUUUGCAAUAUGCGUAAGAUCAUCGUAAGAUUUCUUGAAAUAGCAUAUGCUUUUCUAUGUUCUGUCUUUUGGGGAAAAUCCCUUUUUUAUGGCUUUUGUUUAACCAAAAAUAUCCCCUUGACAGCCUUUGAACAUGGUUUGGCAGCUCCUCUAUCCAAGCAGCGGCUCCUUUCAAACAGCCAUGAGGAAUAAAAUACGUUGCUAUCCUGUAAUAUAAGUUUGUUGGACCAUGUAGCAGCAAAGUGCACCCAAAGUUGUUCACAAUUUUAAUUUGGGUAAAUUGCGAAAUUCGCCCCUGUACCAUGGUUCAAUUUAGUUCCUAAACCUUUUUUUGAAGUAAUGUCACCCUCAAACUAUUCCCAAAUGUUAAAUAGAUCCAUCUAUUCAGGAUUUCCAUUAGAAUGGAUGGAGAAGUACACAUGCUUGUCAUCUCGGCACCACAUGCAAUUUAAGCAAAAUUAUAGUUUUAUAUUUAAUAGUGUUUGGUAAAAAGAAAAAAUAAAAUAAAAAACCGUAAAGCUGAAGGUUGAGGAGACACCAUCACUAGAAGCCCUAAACAAACUACUUACAACUCUACCUACAAACAAGGAAAUCACAGAAAUCAUAUUGACAGAGGAUAUCGGUCUCUAGGUUUGAAAUCAAGUCAUGAAUAUAUCAAUAUAUGCAACGGUACUGAAAUUUCUGGGUUUUUUGUUACACUGAGUUUGAACAAUUGUUAUUAACUCCAUAUGUGGGUGGGUUUUUUUGUUAUACUGUGUUUGAACAAUCGUUAUUAACUCAUAUGUGGGUUUGGAUUUUAGAAUGAGCUGGUUAAUUUGUAUGUAAAAAGUUGAUUGUAUGACUGAUAUUGGAAGAAUUCCAUCUAAUUUUACUGUCAAUAAUUUUUAGGGUUUAUGAUUAAAUUAGGUUUUCAAAAUAGAGUUUUUCAUUGGAUUAAUUAGUAAAUGGUAUUAUUUUUGGAGUUUUAAUAGGCCCUAGGCACCAUUCAAUCUGAAGACUUCAAUCUUCAAUUUUUUUGUGGUUUGUUCCAACCUUCAAUCUUCAAUCCUCUAUAAUUAAAAGAACAAAACCUCAUAAACCUUCAACUGUUAACCUUUCCUUCUCUGCAAAACGAAGUCUCCCCUUUUGGACUUUUUCAUCUUCAUUACUCUUUUUCCUUCCUCUUUUCACUAAACAGAACCUAUCAUGCCGGUGCCCAGAUAACAAGCAUGUGUGCUUCUCCAUCCAUAGUAACAGAAAUCCCUGACAUAAGAAUCUAUUUGACACAUUGGGGAAAAUUCAAGGUUGACAUUGCUUCAAAAAAGGUUUAGGAACUACAUUGAAACAGGGUGAAAGCAGAGGAGUGAAUUUUCUAAUUUAUCCUUUUAACUUUUAGAUGCUUAUUCCUGGUUUAUGACAGCAGCCAUUAACAUGAAGGAAGCUGAAGCCUCUAUAACAUUUCCUCCACUAAAGGCCCUCAAAUGAAAUUAAAAACAGUUAAGAGAGUUACCCAUGGCUUAACGCAAUUACAAAUAUAACAUAUGCAUGUAUGAGGUAGCAAGCCGAUUUAUAUGAAGAAUAUAACCUUAGGAAAUCAUGUUUUAAGAAAAUAAAACAAACAUGGAGGUGUUAAACAAAACUCACCUAUUGCAAUUUACUAGCAAAUCUUGUGCACAAAACCCAUCAGAUUUACUUCCAUUCAUUGUGGUUUGAUACUUCUGGGCAGCAUGAACUAACUGAUUAACCUGCAAAUGAGAGCACAUGUUUAAGGAAUGUAAGUUACAACUUACAAUAGGGUUGCAGCCAGUAGCAAGAUAUGUUAAAUUCAAGGACUUCCAUAGCAAAAUGGUUAUACCAAGUACCUUCAGUGACCUUUCCAGGACUGAGGAACAAUUAAUCAAAAAGUAGCAGUGAAUUAUCUAUUUAAAAUUAAUACAUUGCUUCUUGGUUGAAACCUGAUCCUAAUGCACACACUAAUUUCCAUCUUCUGGUUUCAAUCUGGUCCAGAAAAUAGGAACGAUGAUUGUAAUGCUAAACCAAAAAUGACAAAUUGAUUAAAGGUUCUUCCAUGAAUAUCAAGAAGAAUGGUAGCUGGAAAGGUCAAAAUAAUGAUAUUCCAAUCAAUUUGGAAAGGAAGCACAGAAUUUAGCAACUGAAGAACUGAAAAUAUAAAUUUGAGGAGCUAGUACUUUGACCUUUGUGGAACUGGACUAUGUCACAAAGACAAGUAGGAGAAAAUCAUCUGAUCAAUACCUGAGGUGCAACCAACUGACGAGGCAAAAGUUCUUCAUGAUGCCUUGUGCAAAACUCCCAAGACAGUAUCUAAGGUAAUAAAGGGUUAACAAGAUAAGUAAGAUAUCAUUGUAAGCAAAAGUCACCAAUAAAUACCGGACAUUUAAUAAUAUAACCUACCAGUUUUAUAUGCAACAGCAGUUUAACUAACCUUCAAAUCAUGAGUGAAAAUAAUGCGAAGUUGACCCUCACGAACAACGCGAAGUUGCUCAUAGACACUCUCCUGAACUGCUUUUCCAUAUUCUAACAUCAUUAAUCCAGAAGAGAAUCUACUUUCAUGAGGCAAAUCUACGAACAAAAGCUCAUCGAUAACACCACUCUCAAAGUUUAUUUUAAUAAGCUGAGGAAGCACUUCAAAAAUUGCCUCUGCAUAGAAGAAAUAGAUAAAGAAAGACAUUAUAUACUCGCAGAUUAAAGAGAAUUUCAAUGAUCAUAACAACUCUAGCUAAAAUGGAACGUAAAAAGUUAAGAUCAAUGAGUCAGCCAACACAGAGUGACUGUAUGGUUAUUAAGGUGUACCACAAAUGAAGCACAUACAUACAGAUCAAAGUACAUAUGGGUAAGACCUGUUAUUUUACACCUACAAAUAAACAUUGUUAUAGGACCUGCAUAGGAAGAAUUUAGGAGUCUAGAAAAAUCAAAAUACAGAAGGCAAAUGUUGCCUGCCUGUCCAAACCACAAUUAGUAAUGCUUCUGGUCAAAGAAGUGGCCAGAAUUAGAUAUCAAUCUCAGUUUAUUGAUCAUUACAGCUGGACUAGUUAACCAAGCUGGGAGACCCUGGAGUGGUUACCUGCUGGAAGUACCUAGAAGAUGAAUGUUAGCAACCUAGCUAUUAGAGGGUGCAGCAUGGGCAUGUGAGAUAACAGCUUGUGCCCCACAUGGCCCAAUGCAUGUUGGUGGUGGCAUGCCUAAACAUAGACAAGGUGAUGUUGCUUGGAAAACAUAUUCAUGGCAGAGGUAGCGGCUGUAAAUGAUGUGCGUUGUUGGGAACUUGGCGGCAUCAUCCUUGAGGGAUCAAAGCAGGUUGAGUGGCACAAAUCACAGCAAGGUUGUGUGUGGUAGGCAGCAGGGGGUGAUGCAAGGGCACACAACAUUGCCAGCACACAUUGCAUGACUUGCUGGCAUGACAUCUAGCAAUGGCAUAGCACACUCACAUAGGUUGACAUGGUGAGUGUUCGGUGUUGGUGCUUUGAUAGGUUCCCUAAGUUGCUAGAGACCUAAGAAGAAUUUUCCAAGUAAUGGGGUAUUUUUUUAAAUUCUCUCAUUAGAGAAAAUACAUUAUACCUACAGAAGCACCCUUGAUAUCUCAUCCAAAUAGGUUGAAAAUGGUCGAAAUGCUCUUUAGGGAUGGAGUGAUAGUCUCAAUUGGGGUAACAUAAGGGUGUGGGCUAUAGCAUGGCACAGGCACACCUGAGACUGUAGUUUUAAAAGAUGCUCUUAAAGCACGCCUAGGCCUAAGGCACAACCACUACUUAGUUAUAGCACCUCCCUUGCCAAGGCAUGUGCCUUGUUGGAAAGGUAUGCCUCAUCAACAUUACUUUUCCCUUUUAAACAAUUUUAUCAUUGAAAUUUCUAAUCACAUAUUGAAAUUUACUACUUUUUUGUUGAAUGCUUUUUUGAAUAUUUGGAAUCUUAAAUUUUUUAACAAUUGGAUUAGAUUUUGGAUCAUAUUUUAUAAAAUUGAUAUGCAUCCUAUGUCAUGUUUCUCUUGACUCCGGUGCUCGUCUUAUGUUGCGCCUUGUGCCCAAGUUCUAGUAGACUUUUGUGCCUUAGGUGUGUCUUACACCUUUUAAAACUAUGCUUGAGACGCAGACUUUCCACAAACAAGUGCAAGGCUCCAUGAGGACUUUCACACACCCAAGUGCACAAUAGCUUAGGUAAGGGAUAGGAGUAUGAAACAUAGCAGAUGUGCAUUGUGUAGCUAAGACAAGACAGGUUGUUAGCAACUUGAUGCAUGGAUCGAACAUGGGCAAUGCUAUAUGUAUGAAGCUUGGGCACAACCAAAGUCAUGAGACACUAAAACACAAGAUGAAAGGCUCUCAUGCUAAGCAAGUGUUGGCUUGACAAGGCACACAUGAGUACGUGAGUGCACGCGUGCAAGACACAUGGGGCUAGUUAGCUGAGGCAUGCAAACCAAGGAGGAGAAGCAUGCAAGACAUUUGGGACUGGUUAGUUGAGAUGUGAGGAUACUUACUAAGAUGUCUAAUGCAUGGAGAUGUUACCCCUGUUCAUAAACAAACAUAGGGUAACUAUUCCAUGGAGAAGUGACUCCCUAUUCAUCAGCAGACAUGGGGGUGUGUUGCAGAGACGCAUGGGCCCCUUGGUAGUACCUGAUGGAGGGUCAAAGUGUGUGGGACACCUAGCAACACCUGAGGAGAAGUUGUGAACAAGGAGGAACUACCAAGACAUGGCAAAACAUGGGCUGGGUCUCUAAAAUGUGAGUUACUUAAAAGUAACCAAUGUCCUCUGGUUGCUUAUAAAUAUCCUAUUGUACAUGUAACAAAGAGAGAGAAAGAGAGAGAGAGAGAGAGAGAGAUAAAGUUUUUGCAUAGGCUUAUUGUUUACUUGUCAGCCUUGGUUUCUUGUAUUGUGUGAGGAAUAAUACAAGUUGGGAAGUGAUUUCCUGCCAGUUGCUUAUGUUCAUUGUGUGGAUUAGCUAAUAUGAGUCUUAGCACCAUCACAAGAAAAAAAUAUUUGUGGCAAUGAAUUCUUCUGACAAUGAACCUCUCUAACACCAAGACAAGUACAUGAAAUGUCUUUUCAUUAAAGAGAAUAAUAGCAAUAACAACCACACAAUUUAAUAAGGUGAUAACUUCUAGAGUGAAGAUACUGGACUAAAACAUGUGACUCAGAAAUCAGUCUUCAUGUUAAAACUUCAGUUUUCCUCUUCCAAGAGCAGUUCAAAAGUUAAGGGUUGAUUUAUAAAGCACUGUAGCUGAUACCAGGAUCAUCAUCCACUGGAGGCAAGACACCUCAACCAAGAUUUCCAGCUUGAACUUCCAUUUUUCUCUUAACAGGACCAGAACUUACAAUAAGAAAAUAAUAUACUGCAAAUAUGAAUGCUGGAGGCUAACAACAUAGUUUCGGUGGAUAAAUUGAACGUUUGUACAUACGCUUCUUGUUGGAUGCAGUACAUCUACCAGACAAGGGAGUCAAGCCCUUUAAUUAUGGCAAUCAAUAAUAUUCUCUAAAAUAAAUUUGAAAACAAAAUAGCUGAAAGUGCAAGUAACAACAAAAUUUGGAUAUCAUUAAUCAAUAAAACCAGACACAAUGCCGAACAUCAAUGAAAAAGAAAUAGCACUAAUGACGGAUAAGAAUACUAGAACUAGAAGACAAAAGAUAAAGAAAUCUCCAUUUUUGGAGAAAAACAAUCUGGACUACUGAUUUGCUUACCAAAUCCCCUCCCUGAUCUAGAACCACAAAUGUCACACUGCCAUGUAUCCUGAAAGUAACAAAAAGAGCAACACAGUUUGAACAUUUUGAGGUAACAACACCAGUAUUGGCCUACUGUAAAUAGGUAGGAUUGUCAUGUGGGAAAUGAAAAAUGGAACUCACAGAUAAGAUGAUAAGAUGUAACAUAUGAAGGAAAUAAUAACUUGCAUAGAAACAAGUUUCAAAUGGAAUGAGAAGACUGAUUGUAUUUAAAAUCUAAAACUUCAAAAUUAGGAAAAAAAAAAAAAGGAUAAGAAAACUUUGUCAUUCAAAAGAAAUCAUUGGUGGAAAAUGGAUGCUGUCAGUUAUAGUGUGCAUUCUUGUGUAUCAUAAACAUUAUUGCUAGGACAAGAGAAGAGCUUAUAAACUUUAUUGCAAGACCAAGAUAAGAGCCAAUGCACAUUCACACCUAAUUUAUACAUGCAUAAGAAUAUAUAACACUAUAACUUAAGCGAAUCGCUAAUAUAACCAUAAGAGAAAAAAAAAUCUAAAGAAAAUUAUCUUUCAACAUAAUUAUCUUCAACUUAACCACUAAAUAUCUUUCAAUAAAAUUAUUUUUCAAAUGCCAUGUUAUAUUUAUUUCUAGAAAAAAAGAAAGAAAACUUACAGUAAAACCUGGUGAAGAUAUGAGCAUGCUAGAAAGGAAGUUCUGAAAGAUAAAAGUGCUAGAAAGAAAACAGUAAGAAGUACAAUAAUUUGUAUAUGUUACAUCAAAGUUACAAUGUAAAGGAUAUUUAUGAACUGGUUAGAAUAAAGUAAUAAAUACAAGGAUGCGCAUAUAUCAUGUUAUGUGCAUGAAAGUGACAGCAUAUGUCAUCAGGUUUGGUGAAGUCUGGACUCCAAUGGGGAUCCCACAUAGAACUGGUUCAAGUCUUUCUAUGAGCUCCAAUAUGGUCCUCAACCCCCUACUGCAGAUCUAACAAUUAACUAGACACACAAUCAAUCAUAAAGGAAAAGAAAUAAUAAAAAUGAGACACAGAAAGGCAAGCAUGUACAAAAGAACAGCAUUUUAGCUUGUGCAAAAAUGGAUCCUUAUAAGGUCAUAGGUUAUGAUAGAUCUCUACAAUUAAGUAGGCAUGAGAACUGACCAAUGUGAUGUAAAUGUGUACAAAGCCAUACAUCUUUCAUUAGUACCAAAAAGAAAAAUGUGUCAGUGGCAUGAGAACUGACCAUAGCUGACUGAGGAAAAACACCUUUGGCAUGAUGUCCAACAUUAUCAUACAAAGAUAAACACCACCUUUUCUUGGCACAAGGAGAAUAAUACUCCGCUACAAAUUUCCUCCAGUAGGAAAUGGCAUUGUCCUAUAGAAGAAAAAAAAUAACAUUUAAACCAUAUCUAAGGACAAAUCAAGGAAUAGACUACUGAAACAAAAGCAGAAGCAUGAAGAACAGAAAUAAACUUCUGAUGCCAGGAAAUCUCCACAAAUAAACAGCCAAGGAAAAAGAAGAAACCGUCAUUUGAAAAUGACAAAUAAUGAUAAUAAUAACAACAAUAACCAUGAAAUCAUAACCAUCAUUUGAAGACUAUGUUGAUUAAACCAACAACUCACAGGUGGUCGAUGCCGCUGAUGAUACAUGUACUGCAUUAGUCGGCGAGAACAUAUACCAGAAUCAGAGGGGCGCAUGGCAGAUACUUCAUGUGUACCCUGCUGUUGCAGCUGGUUCCUCAUUUGUUGCUGCUGUUGUUGCAUGUCAACGCCUUGCAACUGUUGAAUAGACUGCAAAAUCUUUUGAUGCUGCUGAUUUCGCAUUUUAUGCUGCUGAAUCCAGGCUUGUAGGUGCGGAUUAUGACCUUGCAAUUGCAAAGAGUCCUUCCUCUGCAGCAGUUGUUGAAUUAUCUGCUGGUGCAGAAAAUCUUCUUCCUGGACUUCUAGUCUGGGUUUUUUAGGCAUCUGGGUAGAAUUAUCAGGCUCCUGUUUUAUGCCAGUAAGAAGUGAAAGGUAAUGUGUUUGAGAUGGUGGCUGAGAUGUAGCAUUAACAACUCCUAGUUGCUGUUGCUGCUGCUGCUGCCUUUUCCACACUUGUCUGCAAUUUUUGUCUAGAGGAGAUGUCUGUUCCAUUGUGGAGGAACUAUCAAUACCAGAAGAGCCUGAGAUGCUUAGAUUAUGUGAUGAGAAUGACAUAGGAGAUGAGGGUAAGCUAAGGUAGGACUCCAUGUUGGUGCUAGCGCUUCUCCACGAUUGGGGACCUCCAGAAAGUAACAAGUUGCCAUCUGUGGACAAAGAAUCUAUUAUCAAAGAACUUGCCCAAACACUCAGACUUGAGUUCAUUGUGUUAUUUGGGUCCAUGUUCCUGGAAACCAAAACCACAUUCAAAACUGCAUGUGUAGGAAUGGAAUUAGACAAGUUACCAAACAAUGCAACUCAAAGACUGACCAUCUUUUUGGAAGAAGCUGUUAGAGAUGGUGGACCUUGGAAUGCCUCCAGCCACCCACUCAGGUCCCACCAGAGGUGCUGCCAAUUGGCUAUUGGAAUCUAAGUAGGUCUCCAAGUAGGCAUCCAGAGCCAUCCCUAGCAGCAUUUUAGAUGAUAAAAACAAGGGUCAAUUGAAUUAACAGACGAACCUCAGAUGAAUUUGUGAAUAAACAACUCAUAGUGGAACAACCUCAGAUGAAUUUGUGAAUAAAGAACUCAUAGUGGAACAGCACCAAAUCAAACAACCGCCUAAAAUCUAUUUCCACAGUGGCAGCAAAGAGAGGUAAAAAAAUUAUGCAUCACUUUCUUACCAAUCUAAGCAUCAGUAGAGAAACGAACAAAUAAACUAGGACUCGAUCACAAUCAACUCAUGUUAGAAGGUCAAGCUAAAAUUUUCCAAAUUUUCUGGCCUCUGCCUGUUUUGGCAGAAAAUAGAUCCAAAAAUUUUCUCUACGACUCAAUUCAUUUCGCAAAUAAUUUUACAGUAAAACUUGGGAAAAACCUAUUCUCUUGAGUUAGUUUUUCUCUUUAGACCUGAAUUUUUCAUUUUCCUUCAGAAAUGUUUUCUUUAAAAACAUAUUCCAUCAAAACAAAUAGACAAGAAUCUCCACAACUAUUAGCGUGCAGAAGAUAUGUGAAUAACAACAAAGACUUGCAGAAACUAUAUAUAUAUACCCAAACCUCCAAAAGGGAAAAAGAAAAACCAACCAAAAAGUAAUACAACUCAAAAUGAAAAAUCAAACAAACAGUAAUCCUAUAUAUAUAUAUAUAUAUAUAAACCUACGAAAGGGAAAAGGAAGAGGAUAAAAAAAUCACCAAAAAAAAAAAAAAAAGGGAAAGAAAAAUCAAACAAACAGUAAUCCUAUGUGUGUGUGUAUACACUGCAACAGCAGCCAACAAAGGCCAAUAAAAGCUGAAUUUUACAGGAUUCCUUCUUAUUGAAUCCAUUUUUUCAGUAAAUUUAAAGGAAUUCAUCGUUUAAUAACUAAUCCUAAACAUCGUUACAUCCGCCUAGGUCUAACCACGUAAACCAAACUAAAAGCAACAAAAGAACACAUGUCAAAUCAAUCACGAAACCACAUGAAUCACAUGAGUCAAAACUCCACGGAACAACUUAACCUGACCUGUUUGGCUGCCAAGAAAAUAAAAAACAGACGAACAAACAGAAAUUCUAAACUUCCGGCUUGGAAAAUGAAAAACUCGCCUCGUCCCAGUCAAACAGUUCCAUUUGGUCAGAAAUUAGAAUCAAAGACCCGAAACGUCAGUUCCAGUGCUUUUUCUCACAUUUUCUCAGCAACUAAACACACCGUCAAAGAAAAACAAUGGUAUUCUUUCUCACUGUCUAAAACAACUACAGGUAAAUAUUUUAAAAGAUCAGACUCAAACAUAGCACCGGAUUAACCCAAACCUCCGUUUUUUCUCGAGAAAAUUGCGGAUAAAAAAAAACAAAAUUUACGAAUUUUCAUUUCAUGCCCCUUAUUUUCGGAAAAUGAAGGGUGACGACAAUCUCAAUGAAGUUUCCAACUCUUAAUUUCUCUACUUUUUUUUCUCACAUUUUCUCGGCAACCAAACAAGAAAACUUUUAAACAUAGGACAAAGAAAAGAAACUGCACGUCAGUAUUCUCGAUGUCCGAGAACUACCACAAAGGGAAAAAAAUGAAGAUAAAAAAAAAUAGAAGGAUCAGAAAAGGAGGAAAAGAAUGAGAAAAAUGCUAACCCUAGGAGUGAAGAGAGCAAAGGUGGUGUGGAUUUGUACGGAACCGCCAUUGCGGGGAUGUUCGGUGAGGUUUAUAUAGGAAGUUCGCGGGAAGAAGUAGAGUGAGCGAGACAGUGACCGGCUGCACCGGUUGCUGGUAAUGCUCAAGCAUGGAGGUCCGCUGAGUGUUUUGGACACGCGUCAAUGUGGGGUCAGCCACGUACUCCUGUUGAGAUUCGAGCGUGGCAGAUGAUCUUGUCUCCCUCUCUUAUAUCCAUUUGCCCUAAGAUUUUGUGGAUUAUUACUAUAUUACCACUGCCCCGCCCUUGAGUUCAAAGGUGACGUCAGGGGUUGGUAGAGUUUUCUCAAAGCUGGCCUAAGUAAAGAAGGACAGAGCCACAGUGCGUAGAGCUGAGUGCAUGGUAUCGGAGCCUGGAGAACAGCCCUCAAUGCCCUUUGAACUUUGUGGGCAGCGUGAAAUGAGUCAGGCUAAGCCUCUGAGGCAUCCUGGUCAUCCUGAACCUUCCAGUUAAGGCAUUAAGGCCUGUUGAGCCUCAGUUUUGGGGCUAGGGGUUACCCUUAAGUUUUAGGACUGGUGAGUUGUGCCAGUCUAAAAGUUUCACGGUCAAGCCCUACACGUUUUAAGUCCUUUCAAUUCAAGUACCUGGUAAUGAAAUCUGCGGUUGGUGUACUUUCAUAGUUAUCAAAUAAGGCCAAGAGUUCAAAUUUGUCAUAUCAGGGAUCACCAGAAAAUUUGAUUAACAAUAUUUUAGUUUCACGGAAAAGCUUAUUUAAUAUUAAGAACGCAAAACAGAAACUUACUAAACAAAUAAACUUGUACUCGAUCCCUCGAUCCCCAAUAAUUUUGUUUGCAAAGUCAAAAAAUAGUUAAGACUGCCUCUGAUUUCAAUCAGAUAGGGGUGUGAGAAAUAAGAGCCCUCUCUUCUACUAUUGAUAUAAAUUGAAUAGUGAGCACAAUGGAGGGAAGGGGAUGGGGCCGCACCUUCCCAAUGUACCGAAUGUGGGUUUGGCACUUUCCUGACUGAACCGUAUCAGACGUAUUUUAAAACGAUAAUAAUAAUAAUUAGUGAGAGUAUUUGCCAGAGUCCAACGCAACAGCACUUUGGGGUCGGGGUUUGCAGAUCAUCCAUGUGUAGAGGAAAAUUGCUGUGUCUGAGACAUAUGAUGCACCAAAUUUUACAUCAUAUCCAAAUUCUAUCCAGAUUGAUUAAGUAGCUCCAUUCGAAGAUGAAAUCUAAUAGAUAGUACUCCGAGUUUUGAUUUAAACCAGCUUUUUCGGUAAUUAAAAUAUCCAUUUUUGCCUCUUUGUUCUUUCCAAACUAUGGUUGAAAAUGACCCUUCUGAAUAUGUGUUUUAUUUUUGAAAACUUAAAAAAAAAAAAAAAUUAUGAUUUUUAAUUGGUAUAAAAAAAAGAAUAUUUAGAAAAAAUAAUUUAAAAAUAAACCUAGAAAGCAUUUUAUGGUUGCAAAAUACCCUCCCUACUUUCGCCCCCAAAUUCACUGUACUCCCACGAAUAUGCUUAAAGCAACAUCCGCCUAUCAUCCUAUCCGCCAGUGUCCUGAAAUUAUUGAUGUCACCCUGUGUUUCUAUACAUAUGUUUUUUUUUUAAAAAAUCGAAUUUAACACAUCUAUAUAUAUAUGAAAAAAAAAAAGAAAAAAAAAAGGCAUUUUGCAAUCAAAUAUUACCUUACCACCCACCUAAAUAUCAUCUUUAACACCUCAUAUACUUAUUUAGACUUUACCUAUUUAAGAGACAUGAAAUUUAAAUUAUUUUUCAUUUUCUGUUCUUUGGUAUGGGAACACAUUUCAACCAUGGUUUUGAUUAAGCAAAACAUGAAAGGAGAAAAAAAAUAUCUAAAUAUGAUGAGAUAGGGUACAACCAAUCAUGUAUAUUGAAUGUGGAGACUGACAAGAAAUUCAAAGCAAAAUUUGAGGGAAUACAUAGUUCCUUUCGUUUCUCUUCCCGUGACAGACACAGCGCAACUGGUAGACCUACAACUCCAUGGAGGGAGAUGCCAUAAAGCAAUGAAAAUCAGCUCCAACUCUUCAACUAUUACAACUCCCUGCUCACGCUGAAAUAUUUUUCCCACUACCAUCUUUCCCACCUUAACUAAAGAUGGAAAAACAAGAAACAUGCAGCUCUCCAAAAACACAGGAGAAACCGUCAGUUUUGUUAUUCAAUGUUACCUGAUCGACGAUACGGCAUGUAUCUAUGGUCCUUUGAAGCAUUCCUUCUUCUUCUUUUCUCAAUGAAGGAUUCGAGCUUGCCAGAAGCCUUAUAGAACAAGCAUAUCAAGAAAUUUGUUAGUGAUCAGAAAUAAACAAAAAUGUGUUCGCUACCAAAAAUACAAAUUACUUGCUGUUUAUGGAGGAAAAAAAAAACUGAAUAACACAUUUUAAUUACUAUUUUCAAGAAUCUCCCCACCCCCAAUCCAAAAAAAAGUUGAAAAAAUAUUUGCUUUCUGAAAAAGAUUAAAAGGAAAAAAAAAGUCAUUUUCAGUAAAUGUCAACUAUAGAAAAUGCUCAUUUUCUCUAUUUUGGGGGAAGAGAUGGUCAAAAUACCAAUAUCAUUUUCCCUACCAAACAGGAUGUAAGUAUCAAACCAGUUAUCAUAUAUCAUAUUUUUUCAGCAAAUGUAAAAUGCUUAUUUUUUCUAUUUUUGAGAAAGAAAAAGUCAAAAAACCAAUAUUAUUUUCCCUACUAAAGAGGACCAAAGUAACAAACUAGUUAUCAUAUAUCAUAUUUUUUAUAUUAUGAAAAAUAGAAAAAUAUACCUUGAGACUGUUAUAUUUUUCAAUAUUCCUUUGCUUCCGGAUUUCAGCUGCAAAAAGAAAAAAUAAAUCAAACCCAGUUAGUCUAUGUAUGACUUGUCUGCAGUGCUCACAUGUUCACUCUUAUUUCAUUCAGGCACUGUUUAGAUAGCCUGAAAAGUUUUUCUUGAUAUUGCAAGCAAAGCAACAAAAACAUGAGAGCCCAUGUGGGAAUCAAACUGCCGAUAUAGCUUGAAAGUGCAUUCUCAUUUUGUCAAGACUCAGGUACCAUGUAGAUGACAUCUGAGAAGAACUCUUAGGAUAUCGGAUGGGUAUCUCUUGUAAAAGCAAAGGGGGGAGUUUCUCUUGUAAAAUCUCUUCCACAAGUCCUAAACUUUUCUACUGAAUUAUAUGAAUAAAAUUCUCUUACUAAAAUAUAUACAUACAACUGAUAGAUAAAUAUAUAGAUAGAAAGAUAGAAGAAGCGUGUUCUGAUGCAUCUUGAAAGGGAAAUCAAUUGCUUUUCUGUGAAAGCUAAAAAUUAUAGUUUCUGGAAGCAUAAGUUUUGUUUUUUUCCACCACCAAACUAUCAUCACACUUCUGCUAACAUCACCUCCAAGGCCCCAACACUACCAUCAGCGCCACUUCCACAAUGCUCACAUCCAUUCUCAACUUUGUUUAUACAUUUCAACUUAUCAAAGAUGAUUUUAGCUUAUCUGCUCCACACUAAAUUCUAUAAGUAUUUUGAGGUCAGCCUUGGCCUUAAAAUAAGGAGCUAGUAAGCUACAAAUGCUAGACAUAUUUAGAAACUAUUGGUUACAGUGAUAGUGUUGAGCUCCACCCAAACUCAACUCUACCAGCCAUAGUUGUGAAAGGCGCGCCUAGGCUCCGGGCGGCGCGAUGCCCCUUCACAAAGGUGCCGCCUAGGCGCGAUGCGGUCCACAGGUGAGCCUUGCUCCCCUACCUCCUUCUCCUUCUUAUCCUUCUUCUUCUUUUUCUUCUUCUCCGGCAUUGGGUUUCAGAGGGCAAAGAGAAGCCCUAAUUUCUUUUUUUCUUUUUUGGGACCAAAACAACGUCAUUUGGUCCCUGUUCUUUUAAAAGUGCAAGGUCCAAAACGACGUCGUUUUGACCCUUUUUAUUUUAAAAAUAACAGGCCAAAACGACGCUGUUUUGGCCCUAUUUUCCCUUCCAACCCCCUUUUCUAGUUGUUUUCAACCCAACAACUCUCCCAAAUUUUGCCCUAGCCUCAGUCGUGCAAUGGAGAAGACAAAGAAGAGGAGGAAAAAUAGGAGAAAAAUAGAGGAAAAAUAUAUGUAAAUUAGGGUGCGCCUCACUUCACUAAAGCCCGCGCCUUGAGCCUUGGUGCGCCUUGAGCCUUUUAAAACUAUGCUGCCAGCUUGCCAUUUUAUCUCAAGGGUUAAUGGUUUUUGCUUAUACAGGAUACCAUCACUUGGAGAGGCCAACAGCAAUAUCAUCAUUCAGGGGGAGGGGAUUUUUCAUCUCAAGGGUUGAUGGCUUUUGCUUAUACAGGAUACCAUCACUUGGAGAGGUGACGGCAAUAUCAUCGUUUAGGGGGAGGGGGAGUGUUUGGGGUGUGUGGGGGACGAAGGAGCAAGAGGAAAGGGAACAUUAUCAUACUUUUUGUAAUCAAAACACAGGGAUAGAGAGAGAAUAAGGGGGGAGAGAGAUGCAAACAUUACAUUUCUUGAUAUAAAAUGGCCGUUUCCCUUGCUUUGUAGCUUCUCUCUCUUUCUUCUUGUGUUCAGCCAGAAUUUUGGAGUCAGUGUGUUUUACUGACCCAGACUUCAGUUGUUUGUCCUGACAAGACAUAUAAUGAAGAAAUUAAUAAAAUGCACCAAUUCUUCUAGAAACAGACUGAUGGGAGUAUUAACUUGUUCAGAUAAAUGACCCAUUGGUCCUACAAUUUCUUUCCAAUAUGGCAAGCACUUACAAUCCAAGAAAUCUGAUUCUUUAAUUCUUCAAUGACUUUUGGGUCAUUUGCCUUCUUUAACUCCUUCUUUAGCCCCUAUAGAAAACAAUUGCAAUUGGAAAACCCCCCCAAAAAAAAUUGAAUCAACCUAAAAGUUGAAUAAAUUGAAAUAGAAGCCCCAUUUUCAGUGAAUUCAAAAUACCUCUCUUUCAGCAGGAAGUUCAGUCUCAUAUAAAAAGUUAUACCUCUUCCUGAACCUACAACAUCCAAGAGCACAUAUAACUCCCAAAAAAGAAAAGGAAAAAACACGAGAAUGAUCAAACCACCAUAAUGAAAAUUCACACUAAAAUUAACAGUUCAAGACAUAACUGGCAGUCUUUGAAACUCAUAAGCCCUAACUGCAAUUUUGACUUUGAAGUACCAGAAUAAGAGAUUGCCGAAUGGUGAAAGACAAAAGUCAGACUCUUUUUUUUUUCUUUUGGAAAUUUUAAAAUACCAUUAAGCUAAAGGUCAGCAUUAAUUCCAUGAAUGAAGUCAUGAAACAGUGACUUGAAUCAGUCACAAGUUCAUUGCAAAAAGUUCUCCAAGCAUGCUAGUACAGCUCUCAACUUACCCUGUUAGCAGUACCAGCUUACAAUAAUUCCAACAUUAUCACCAUAGUAAUAUCCAAAUUAUAUCCUACCUUCAAGGUAUUGCAUGAAAAAUACACCAAACUUCUUUAUUCCUGUACGUAAAAAUAAUGAAAAAAACAAAUUUUGGUGAGAAUGCAUAUUCCAAAAGCAUUUUUUUCUUUCUUCCUUUUUGGUUUGCCAGUCAGAAUUAGCAUUCAUCACCCCACGUGUUCUCAUUCACUCUUAACAACUUUGACUUACUAGUUACCUAAUGAUCUUUCUAAAAAUUUUGCAUGGUAAGGCACCUCAAAAACAAGUAUGAGAUAGGUAUGGAAAGAAACAUAAGCACAAAAUAGUGAAUUGAAAACCAAAGGAAUGACCAUAUUCAACAAUUUAAAAAACACAUUGCACACACAUAUUUCACAAACACACAAACAUUUUUUUUAUCAGAUAUAAACACACAUAAAAAUGUGUACAGAAACUUACCCAUCUGCAUCAAGUGUGCCACAUAAAGAUUCAAAACGGGGGUCACGUACUACCUGAAUGCCAAAAAAGGAGAAACUACUGUUUCAAUUGCUAUAUGUCAAGUAUGCAAACUUUUAUCAUGCAAUAUCAGUGAAAACCACUAAAUAGAGCAAUUCACAAUUUAGUAUUCUAUCAAAAUCAAAAUUUAUUAUGAUUUCCAACUCAUACAACGGGUCCACCAAGUUCAUAUCUUUGCCUCUUAGUGAUGGGAAUGGAAGACCCUUAUGACAAAUCAAACAUUUCCCAAGACUGCUGAUAUUUUCAUCAACAAACUCUAAGCUUCAAUGCACUAGGGACCCUGCACUUCACAUCCAUGUGUAGUUUCUUUGUCAUUAUCAAUAAAUUUAUGCUUACUUACAGGAAUGAUGCACUUCACUACCCUUAUGUCUUUCCAGACUUAACAAAGUAAAGAAAAAGAGACUACUGAUUGAUAUUCAUGCAACAAUGUAACCAGCAACAAAUGGAAUCUUCGGCACAUACAAACAAUUUGUAUUUCAAAAUAACAGAUAUAAUCAGGCUCACCCUUUUAGGAACUUGAAUUGUCUCUCUAAAUCUACUGACUGGCUUCUUGCUGCUAACCUCCAUUGGUCUUCUCAGUUCAUAUGUUACAAACACGGUAAAUCAAAUGAAUUAACGAAACAACAAACAAACUAGACACGAGUAACACCAAAACAAACAAAUUAGGAAGAAAUAUACCUAUUCUUGUUCGGCCGCCCACCCUUCUUCUCAGAUUUUGGCAUUCGGUACACGGAGUGUGACCCAUCGGAGCGAGCUUUCUGUAAUUCUUCAAAUGUAACAUCUGCAAGCUCACGCUCUAUCUCCUCCUCCUAACCAAAAACAAUCACGCUCAAUUUCAGAACUGUCCCGGUUGAGCAAUACAUGUAUCUAAUACUUCCAAUCGUUUUGAUAAGUUACAAACCUCUUCUGAAGAAGAGGAAUCCGCUUGUUCAAGAUGAUCGACCGUGGCUUUUGCAUUCUUCAUUUCAAUUUAUAAAGUAGCCCUAAGAAGGACAAUUGCAUCAGUUGUUAAGCAGAGGAAAUUAGGGGCUUCUCGAAACUUGGACUAAUAAAUCAACCAAAACACCACAAGUCUAGUUCAAUCAAAUCACGAAUUAAACAAACCAGCAAAAGUUAUUCGGAUAGCUAUAGUUGUUUGAUUGAAAAGAAAGAGAUAUCUAAUAGAAGGAAAAAGAAAUCGGGGUUCCUCAACAACAAAACAGAGAGUAAGAGUAAAAAGAUGAGACUGAAGAGAAAAUAGGCUACCUCUGUCGUCUGCCGAUGGAAAAUCUAAGUCGGCGGCUCCGUCUGAUCUCACCGCCCAAUCUCCCUUCGCUUCUGUGCUUUUUCGUCGGCGCGAGGUUCCGCCUCCGCGUUAAUGGGCUUAAUUCAGCAAAGAGCCCUUAGGGGGCUCUUUUUCAAGUCCACGGAUUAUUGGGCUUGGGCCGCUUUGAUCAUUUCAAGCUAAACCAUCUACAAUGAUCUUGAGUUUUCAAGUCUAAUAAUAUCAAUCUCAGGAAAAUACGUAAAACCAAACUCAUAUAUUCGCCGACUCGCAUUUUUUCGUGUGUCUCUGCUCGAAACGGUGAGACUUGCUUUUCAUUUGUGAAAAAUUUUUUUUUUUUUUUUUUUUUAAGUUAGGUGGUAUUUGUUUUAUUAACUUUUUACUGAAGGUAAUUUAAUUUUAGAAUUUAGGUUAUUUGUUUUUCUACUUUUUUAUAACUUAUUAUAAACUUUUUACUAAAUAGAACAAACCAAAAUAUAUAAUUUUUUCUAAAUAUAAAAAAUAACAUAUUGAUUUUUUUCUACUUUUUAAUACUUAAUAGAAAUAAAAUACUACAAAAACAAACAACCUAAUAUUCUCGUCACGUAUUUUAGUUUAUUUUUAAAAAAGAAAACAAAAUAAUAAUAACUCAUUUUUUUUAAAAAAAAAAAAAACAUGUUUAUAAAAACUAAAAUACCCUUCUAAGUCCUUCUAUACUUACAUUAUAACAAUUAACUAAUUAAUCAUAUAUAUCAAAAUUAAGUAUACAAAUCAAAACACAAUAAAAUUAUGAUAAAAGAGUAUCAAAAUAAUUUAUUACAAAUUUUUUAAAUUGGUAAUAGAAAUAAUUUUACUUUUACUAGAAAAAUAAUAAAAUUUUACAAUUUUAUUGUAAAAAUAUUUCAAUUUGAUUUUAUUUACAAACUAAUUUUUUUUUUACAAACUUUCUUUAUGAAAAUACUUUAAUCCAAUUUUAUUAAGAAAAUAAUGUAUACAACUUUAAUAUGUAAAAAUGAUUCUCGUCUUAUUCUUAUCAAAAAAAAUAUUUAAGAACUCUAUUUAUAAAAAUUAAUUUUAAUCCCAUUAUUAAUUAAGAAAAAAGAAUGUAUUUUAAAAUAUUUUUUUUGACAAUUUUAUUAAAAAAAUAUGCAAUUUUAUUUAAAAAUCAAUUUUAUGGACAAUUUUUAUUAAAUAAAUAAAUUUCCGAACAACUUUAAAACAUUUUUUUUUAAUUUUUAUUAAAAAAAACCUUUUCUAUUAAAAAAAUAUUUUUUAAACUAUCGUUUUUAUUUAAAAACAUAAUUAUUAAAUUAUUUCUUUUAUUAAAUUGUGACCUAUUAGAAUAAGAUAUAAUAGUUUAAUGGUAGACUCUAAAACAACAUAUACUAAUUCAAGUUUUAUUUUGUUUGAUAGGCUAUCGUACUCUCAAAACUUAAUAAAAUUUCCUUCCAUAUUUUUUUAUAAGAAACAAUGCAAGUGUUAAUCCAUUCCAUCCCAUUUUUUAGCAUUUUUUUUUAUCGUCUUAUUAUAAUCAUUAAUUUAUUUGUCAGAAUUUGUAUUUUUUGUAAUUUACAAAUGUUCUUGAUGAGAUGGGCGUUUAACUCAAUGUCAUCAAUGAGAUAGGCGUUCAACUCGUUGGAUUUUUCGAAACUAUUUUAUUCUUAAAAUACAAUCUUAAGUUUUGAGAUUCGAUAAUUUGUUGAUGGGAUAUAGCUUUUAAGAUUUUUUUUUUCAAAAGGUUUUCACUUGUAUUUUUUAAAAAUAAUUAUACACACGCAAAAGACGAAAAGUUCGAUAAUUUGGUAAUGGAAGCAAUUCAAUUUUAUUGUUUAUUGUUUAUUGUUUAUUGUUUAUUUUCAUAAAUUAAAAAAUAAAAUAUUAUUAAUAUUUAAUUGCUCUUUAUUUAUUUAAAAUAAAUAUUAUUUUCUAAAUCACAAUAAUCAAAUAUUGUUAAUAUUUUAUUAUUCUUGAUUUAUAAAAAUAUUAAUUCAAGUGGAUUUUUAUUGUUAUGCGUCCUGUUAUUUGUCUUCUACUUGUAUCAUUUUUUAUUUUUUUGAUAAAAUUAAAACACCAAAAAUAAAAAUAUUUUUUGAAAAUGUGAAAAAUAGGUUAAAACACUAAAGACAAAAACAAAAAUUUAUAAAAUAUUUGAAAACGUGGAAAAUAGGUUUAAAAUAUUUUCUAAAUGAAUAUUUAUUUUUAAAAAAAUCAUAAAUUUGUUUUUUCAAACUGUUUUUAAAAAAUUGUGAUAUAUUUGAUGGCAUUUUCAAAAACAAUCUUUAAAAACAGUUGUUUGGUGCCCAGACCAAUCCUAGAUUUUCUAAACGAACUUAGAUGGUGGGCAAACCAAACUUUGAAUUUAAAAAAUAUUAUAAAAUUGUUUUUUCGAAGUGUUUUUAAAAAAUUGUGAUAUGUUUGAUGGCAUUUUCAAAAACAAUAUUUAAAAACAGUUGUUUGGUGCCCAGACCAAUCCUAGAUUUUCUAAACGAACUUACAUGGUGGGCAAACCAAACUUUGAAACCAUGGCUGUUUACCAUCGUUGGAAGCUUAUUUUUCAAAAUUGUUUGUAAGCACACAGACUAUUUGACUACUUGUUCUUAAAAUCAUUUUUUUAAUAAAUAAAAGCAUAAAAAAAACCUUGUUUUGAUAAAUAAAUUUUAUUUAAUUUUUAAAAUAAUUUUUUAUUUUUGGUCCAUACAAAAAUUGUAAAUUCAAUCUAGGUAAUACCAAUUAAAUUUAACUCAAAAUUUAUUAAAAAUAAAAAAAAUUCUUAAUUACAAAUAACUUUUAAAAUAAAUAAUUUAAAAUAAAAUUAUUACAUGUGAUAAACAAUAUUUUUAUCAAUUAGAUUAAGGGUUAUUUGAUUAAAAUGAUAUCUCAAAACCCAAUUUUUGAAAUUUAACUUUUUAUUUAUUUUUGACAUCAUUUGAAUAAAUAUAUCCUACUUUUAAAAAAAAAAAUACGGUAUGGGUUAGAUUUUUGAUUUGAGGAUUAUUUCAUCAUUUUUAAUCAAAUAUUUCUUAAAUUAAUAAGCGUAUUGGAAAAAAGGUAUUUUACAAUUCUAUCCCUAUUUUAUUUACUAAAACCGAUUUAUACGUGCAUUAUAUAUGUCAUUAUCUACCUUUGGAGUUGUUUUUUUAAUCAAUCACUUCCAUUGUUUUUCACGACCCAUGGAUUCAUUUUCCACUAGAAAUAUCAAUAGAAAUAAUUGCACCCUGGUAACGCCGUACAAGAAGAUUAUUAUUAUCGUGACAUUAUGCUAAAAAUUGGCAUUGAAGGCCCAUUUUCAUCUAGGAAAAUGUUAAAAACCAUUUAUUACAUAAACCUCGGAAAUAUAAUGCUUUCAUGCCACACUGGAAAAACGCCGCUGACACUUCAACAUCGAAUUAAAUGUGAUAUUUUUACUAUUUGAUUUUCAUUUAAUACACACCACUGCCCCCUGGGCGAUGUGUCCCCAUUGACUUGUCUUGGGUAAUUGAUUUAUAAAUAUUUAAUUGUACAAUUUUAAGUGGUGUUUUUUUUUAUUUGAAUAAAAAAUAAAAUUAUUUAUUUAUUUUUGUUGAUUUUAAUAAUUUAUUUUUAAUUGAAUAUAAAAAAUUAAAUAUUUUAUUUUUUUUGUAAAUAAUUUUUUAAAGAAUUUUGAAUCAUUUAUUUGGUCAAUAUCACUUAACCUUAAGACACACUCAUACACCCACCUUUUAGAGAGAUCUCAUCUACAUCUUAUUCAUUUCUUCUCUACAACUUCACUUGAAAAAACAGAAUAUUUGGAAAGAGGAGAGGAAAAAAAAUGGAUUUGGUUUCCCACCGUUGAGCUGGACCUAACAUAUUCAGCAUUCAUGUCCCUUUCGAUAUUCUCAAGGUCCAGGAAAACGAAAAAACUACUUCCCAAACAUCAGGCCUACGCGCGAUCACCGCGAUUGGCUGUUUGAUUCCCAGAUACUACCCUUCUGCCAAUCACAGUUUCAGGUACGGCACCUCACGUGACCAGUGCAAACACAGGGGUAUAAUCAUAAUUUUAAUACAUAAGGGUCCUAGUCCAAAUAUAAAACAAACCCUGUUUUUAUCCUCCUCAGGCUCGUUUUCUUCCUCUUCUUCUUCUUCUUCUUCUUCUUCUGCUGCUCCAGAGAGGCUUCGGCGAGUCAGAUAACUCAGUGAGUCAGAUAACUCAAUCUCGGGCUCAGCCAUGGACUUCGACAUGGAAUCCAUGGCGUCGGCCAUCGGAGUGAGCGUCCCGGUGCUCCGAUUUCUCCUCUGCUUCGUUGCCACCAUUCCGGUGAGCUUCCUCGUGCGGUUCAUCCCCGGCGCAUUUACUAGGCACGUGUACUCCGCGUUCACCGGAGCUUCCCUCUCCUACCUCUCUUUCGGCUUCUCUUCCAAUCUCCACUUCCUCGUUCCCAUGCUUCUUGGCUACGCGGCUAUGCUUCUCUGUCGCCGUCGAUGCGGUGUGAUCACCUUUUUCUUGGGAUUCGGCUACCUCAUUGGCUGGUGCGUGCUUGUUCUUCAUCUAUUCAGCUCUUGAUCUGUUUUUAAUUCAUAAUUUGUAGAGGUUUGUUUAACUCCAUUGAUCUAUGAGAUGAAUUGUAAUGAGGAAUUAUUGGAUUUUUAGAAGUUCUUUGUUGGCUUCGUCAGAAUAUUUUCAUUGAGAAAUUAAAUUUUCAAGUGUAGGAGGGAUCCAUUUAUUUCUCUUCUCAUAUAGAUCGUUAGCAGCACUUACGUAAUGUGGAAGACAGAGUGUUAGGAAACCAACUGAAGAAACCUUCAAAAUUUCUUAGGUUAUUUUGGUUUCUGUUAUGCAAUUUGUGAGAAUGUUCUAACCUCUAACAUUAUACAUAGAUUCACAUCUCAUAAAUGCAAGGAAUUCUUCACUGUUCUUGAUGAAAUUGAAGCAAUAAUAUAGUUUCGCUUAAUUUUUUUUCUACAUUAAUUUUUUUGUUAGAUACUGUAGGAUGCAUGCAAAUUUUAGCCACCUGGAUCUAAAAUAUUUGGAAUUUUUUACAAUCAUUUUUUUUAAUAGAUGGUGUUUAGAGUUCUUAUCUAUUUUACUCUGUGUGUAGCCAUGUAUACUACAUGAGUGGGGAUGCAUGGAAGGAAGGGGGUAUUGAUGCUACUGGUGAGCAUAAUUUCAUGCCUUUUACAUGCCUUAUGUUUCUGGUUUUAGCAGUUGAAUAAAACAAUAAUUUGGCACUGUGUGCGUAAAAUUACCUGAAUUGAGUGAUUACAAGUGCCCCUUUGCUUUAAUGGAUUUGAUAAAUAAGGGGGGAAUUUAAGCAAAUGAGCUUUAUAGAAAUACUCUAAUAUAUAUUGGACUUUGAUUUGCAAUUCUAUCAAUGUUUUAUUGUGAAAAAAAAAAAUUGAGUCAUAAAAUAGAGAGAGAAGUAAAACAAGAAAUCCUUGGUUGGUAUCAGGAAAGGUUUCAUAACAUUAUUUUUUAAGGUGGUAUUGGUGAGGGACAAUAUAUCCAAGAGACUAGCUUUGCAGUCUUAUUUUUAUGUUAUGUUUGGUUAUCGGAAAAUAUUAAGGAAAAAAAAUGUUAUGGAAAAUGGUUUUCUUUUGUUUGGUUUCACUAUGAAAAAUACAAAAGAAAAUCAAAUAUAAUUAAAAUUAGUUAGAAAUGUAUUCAUUUUUAAAUUGUUCAAUCUUUAUAUAAUGGAAAAUAACUAAAAUGAGUUUAAAGAAGUAUAUGAAAAUAAUUUAUUGACUUUGAAUCUAUUUUUUAUUUUUCUUCACUUUCUUUUUCCUUCUACUUUUCCUCUCUAUUUUCUUUCCCUUACAAUUUCCCCCAAAUUUUCUAGAAACCAAACAUAACCGUAGGUUUCUUGUUUGAAAUCCUUGCUCGCAGACAUGCAAAUAUUGGUUUCUGUGGAUAAAUCCUUGAAAUGAUCCACACAUAAAAACUUUGAUAAAUUGUGGAUUAUGUUAUGAUUUAUAGGAGCUUUGAGGGUUUUAACCUUGGGUCUCUUUAUGUGCAAUAAAUUAUAAUGAUGAAUUACUAAUGUUGGAUCAAUUUCGUGCUGAUGUAUAGGAGCUCUAAUGGUUUUAACAUUGAAAGUCAUUUCAUGUGCAAUGAAUUAUAAUGAUGGAUUGUUAAAAGAAGACGGUUUGCGUGAGGCACAGAAGAAAAACCGAUUGCUUAAGUUACCAUCAUUGAUCGAGUACUUUGGUUAUUGUCUCUGCUGUGGAAGUCACUUUGCUGGACCAGUUUAUGAAAUAAAGGAUUAUCUUGAAUGGACAGAAAGAAAAGGGGUAGGUUUAAUGCUCUCUCACACUGUUUCUGUAUUAUAUAUGUUAUUGAACCUUUUUUUUUAUCCCAAAAAUAUAUAAUCUUUGGCAGAUUUGGGCCAAAUCAGAGAAAGGGCCACCACCAUCACCUUAUGGGGCAACGAUUCGAGCUCUUAUCCAAGCUGCCUUUUGCAUGGGCUUGUAUGUGUAUCUAGUACCCCAUUUUCCCUUGACCAUAUUUACUGAUCCUGUAUAUCAAGAAUGGGGCUUCUGGAAACGGUUGGGAUACCAAUAUAUGUGUGGCUUUACAGCACGCUGGAAAUACUAUUUCAUCUGGUCAAUCUCUGAGGCAGCUGUCAUUAUUUCUGGCCUGGGAUUCAGUGGGUGGACAGAAUCUUCCCCACCAAAACCAAAAUGGGACCGUGCAAAGAAUGUUGACAUUUUAGGUGUUGAGUUGGCAAAGAGUGCAGUAACACUGCCACUUGUUUGGAACAUACAAGUCAGCACCUGGCUACGUUAUUGUGAGUUUCUUUCCCCUCUAAAUGUUUCAUGUCUUUUGUUUGCUUGAUUUUGAAGCAUAGACUAUGUGGCUUUGAGAACUUGCUUGCAAUGGUCAAGUUAGAGAUCCUGAAAGAAAAGACGCUUGAAGAGAGUUUGAAAAACACAAAGGCACUUAGAAGUGCUUGAAUAUUUUCAAGACUUCCCCUCUCAGCCAGAUGAGGGUAUUGUCUAUCUAUGAGCACCUUUCCAGAACCUUCUUCAAAUUACUAAGCUUUAUAUAUACAUUUUCACUACACAAAGAAAAAUCUAGAUUGUCUCACAUAGUUUCAGAGACUUCAACACAACUCUGGAGAACUUAGGCUACUUCGGAAGCUUCUAGAAUGUUCUGACCAUCUGAAGGAGGCUUUUACUUGUGAUGGGUACAUGUUUAUUGCCCAUUUUUCUUGAAAUGAUGCAUAUGUUUUCAUGAAAUUCUGGAGUUCUACGAAUAGCAGUUUAAACCAUAACUUGUAAAAAAAGACAACAGUUCAAAAUAAACUUAAUUGUGGGAUGUUUUGGAGCAUCUUGGAAAAGUGGAAUUUACCAUACUGCACAACUUAGAGGUGAUCUAUCACCACAGAUACUGUUGUAAAUUUGCAAAUUCUUACACAAAUUGACAAGUACCAUUGACAUGCUUAAUGCGUUUAUGCUAUGAAAAAAAUUUAUAGAAACUAAUUCUCAUGUUUACUGGUCUUCAAUUUUUUUUUCUUAUUAAAGUUUUCAAUAUUUUUGUGAUGGACAUUGGUUUUUCUUGCAUUUGCUUAUUAAUAUUUCUUGUACAUAUCAUUGUGCAGGAUAUUGAAGCAAGAGAUUACUUUUAAGUUGAUAAUCAUAUUCAUUAUCUCAUGUUCUGUAUUGCAGAUGUUUAUGAGAGGCUCAUUCAAAAUGGGAAGAAACCUGGUUUCUUGCAGUUGCUGGCUACACAAACUGUCAGUGCUGUUUGGCAUGUGAGUAUGAUUUUCGCCUAAUGAUGAGCAGAAAUUCUAAUUGUUUGUCUUGAUGAGUCAGUACUCCGAGCUCUGACUGGAUAUUGGUUGCUUUGAUACAUUACCAAUUGCUAUGAUUGCAUUUAAUGGUGGUAUAAAACCUUUUCCUAGAAGUUGUUGUGUUCACAUGCCUGUGAUCUUAACUGUUCUCCUCCCAUAUGAUCAUUCUCAUCUUGUUUACUCUUAUGCAGGGAUGAUAUCUUAGCUGCCCAUAUUAUGCUGCAUUAUAACUGCUAAUAAUUCUAUCUUACACAGAUUUUCUAUUAUUUCUAGUGGGUUCCAUAUGAGGUUUACAUAUGGGCAUGUGAAAAUUCUCCCUGUUUUAAAAAUCUACAUCUCCACCAUCUAAUUUCUUCCUUUUUAUCUUUUUAAACCAAAUCACAGGGAUUAUAUCCUGGAUACAUCAUAUUCUUUGUUCAGUCUGCACUGAUGAUAGCAGGUUCAAGAGGUACUAUUAUCUCACUGACUAUGAUUUAUUCAGAUGGUUAAAGCAUUUCUCUGAUUCCCUUUCAUUUGUUUAUGAGCAGUCCUUUACAGAUGGCAGCAAGCAACAAGCAAUGCUUUGUUUAAGAAGAUGGUUGUGUUUAUAAACUUUGCUUAUACAUUGUUGGUUCUGAACUACUCCUGUGUUGGUUUCAUGGUCAGUCCAUCUCUCUCUUUUCUUUUCUUAAUAUCCAUUUCUGCAAACUAAAAUUUUAUGAUUUUAAGUUCCUGAUGCUUCUAUGUUUGUGUAACACAGGUAUUAAGCCUGCACGAAACACUGGCCUCUUAUGGAAGUGUGUACUACAUUGGAACCAUUCUUCCCAUAGUAUUGGUCCUCCUUGGCUACAUAAUUAAACCGGCAAAGCCAGUCAGAUCUAAGGCUCGGAAAGAACAGUGAGGUAGAAACCAGAUCAUCUGUUUCUCUAGAGGACCUGGAGUGCAACCGACGAAACGUUGGAGCACUAGUUUCUGCAGUUAUAUUUAUACAUUGUAAUAUCUGUGGAAUUGCUGAGCCUAUUUACAUUUUCACUCAAUCUUGAUCUUUUGUCAUUGCUUACUUUCUCUUUAGUGGACCUCCUUUGUUGGCCAUGCGGUAGAAAAGCAUCAGUUGCUAGAGACCUCUUAUCCAAAAUAUUUAUAAAUAUGAUUGAAAACAAAAGGAAACAGGAACAGAGCCCUUGGUUGGAUGGCACUGUGGAGUUCAGAUUUUGACCCCUUCAGCAGUUGAAUGUGUGGUUUUAAGUGUAGCCCCAAACAUCAUAUCCACUUGGAAUGUUUUCUUUCUCACUACUCUCUGCAACUCUUAUCCCAACCACCUUAUUAUCUAGCCAUUCACAGUUUUUGUUGCAUACGUGUCUUGUUUGUGCUCAUGUCUGCAUAUAGUUCAAUAUUUACCUGCAUAUCGUUCCAACAGGAUGGAUGAAGUUUCUUCUGUCUGGUUGGCAUUAGAUCACGAGAUCCAAUUCAACAAGAUUUAGAUCCUACAUGUUUUUCAUGGUUUCGGUUGGGUGUAUUGAUGGUGUUUAUGUCAAAUUUGCAUUAACCAUAUAACUCGUUUAAUAAAUAGGUUCUUUUUAGGUUUGUAUUUAUAACAUAAAUUUGACUUGAAUCAGCUUAUUUAAUAACGGUGUUAAUUAACUUAGUUAUAAUCGUAAUCUAUUUUAACUGCUAUUUGACUUAUUUAAAAUUUGAUUUUGAAUAAAUAAAUUAAUCGAAUCAUAUUUUUAGGUUGUGAGAAGUUAAUCUGAUUCAAACAAGAUUGAUAUUUUUGGUUGAUUUUGGAUCAAGAAAUUAAUCAUAUUAGUUUAAAUAAGAUCUAAUUUUACACGAUUAUUAAAUGGAUUGUACAUCUUGUUAUCUACUUAAUAAUGAGGUUGUGUUUGGAUUUAUUCUUUUAACUCGAUUAUUAUUCAUGUCAUUUUUGGGUUAAUCAAUUCAGUAGAGUAAGGUGCAAAAGGUGCGGCCCAUAUGGCCUACCAACUAGAAUUGUCACCCCUACGCAAGUGGAACACAUAUCCAUACAGUGCAGCCCAGUGCUACCUUGGGCUUACUUGGGAAAUCCACCCAAGUCCAAGCCUAAAAACAUAAUGAAAAAAAUAUUAUAGUGUUGUAUAGGAGUGGGUUGACAAUAAUUUUAAGAAAUAUUUUUAAUAUUUUUAAUACUUAAAAAAUAAAUAAAAAAUUUAAGUGUUAGAAAUGUUAAAAAUACUUUUUAAAAUCACUAUCAAACAGAUUCUACUGCGAAUUAUAACAUCUAAUUAUGUAAUUAAUCAGGCUCGACAUUAAUCAUUUUAGGGCUGGAGAUGGACCGGGUCAAGCUUGAAUUUUAUGGGGCCUAGUACCCCUCGCCUGCAGUUCCAAAAAUGUGAUGCUUACAGGCUACAGCCUAUUGAUGGCAACAGGACAUCCGAAACGCGGCGUUUUAAGUUUUAACCACAUGCAUCAUAAUCAGACAGCGCAUGACGUAGGCAUCCAAAUAUAGACACCAGAAUGUGGAUCCCACGCGCUUUCUGCGCUUUCCAUACACGAGAGGGCUGAAUUUCAUGAGUGGACUCAGUCCCAUCUUUGAAAUAUUUUAUUUUUGGUGAGAAUUUUCAAAAAAAAAAACUAAAAACAGUCUCUUUGUACCUAAGGAAAAGACGAAAGUCGGUGGCGCUAGGUCUCAUAUUCCAAACAGCGGGCCGAUAAAUUUGCCUAUUUAUUAUUCAUAGCGGAUUAAAUUUGAAAUCUAGACAAAUUGUAUGUCUGGUGGGUAAUGAGAAUGGAAUCAGCCACCCUGAUUUCAAUCCACAUAUUCAUCAUUUAUCAGUUGUUAUGAUUCAAACUAGCGUAAGUUUUUGCAGUGGUCCAAUAAUCAAAAGAACAUCAAUUGUGAAUGGGGAAGAAGAAAGCAGAAUCUCAGUGUCUUAUUCUUAUUUGGCCAUUUUGAAUUAAAAUAAAUAUAUAAAUUAUUAUAUUCCCACUUUCAAAAUUAAAGUCUAAUAUGAGUCAUGGCCUCCUUUUUAAAUGAAUAAGCCUUCAACUUCAAGCCAAUAAAAUUUAUUUUAUUUUAGUUAGAUAGGUCUCUUUUAGGAUGGAUGCAUGUACAAUCUUUAAAAUGUGACAAUUGGUUAGCCGACAUGAAAUUAAAUUGGCCAUAAUUUUGGCCAAGUAUAUAUAUUAAAAAUAAAUAAAAAUUCUAAAACAACUUGUCUUUAUUUUUCAUUUGUUGGACCGAAUAAAUUUUAAAAAUUAAAAAUUAAAUUCCAAUCAUUGAAUUCAUAUUGGUUACAUUGCAAUUUCAAAUAUAUCCAACUUGUUUUUCAACUACUUCAAUCAUUGUGCCUGUUGUGGUAUUUGAUAAAAAUUUGAAAUUUGCUUUUUUAAAGAAAAUGUGGUUUUAGAUUAUGCUAAUUUUUUUUUAUUUAAAAAUUAUUUUUUAGUUUUAAUUUCAAUUGGUAAGCUUGUUAGAUAACACUAUCAUAGUUUUUAUAUUUUGAAAAUUUGUAUUUACUAUAUUUAGCCUUAUCUAUAUUAAGUAAUAAUCUAAUAAGAGAAAAGUAAGGAAAGAAAUUAUUUAUGAUUAUGAUAAAAAAUAUAAAAAUUUAAUUUUAACUUUAUCAACUCUUAAAAUUAAUUUAUUAAAUUAUAUUAACCUACCAAGUAUGAUUUUGCAAAUCCCACCUAACUUAAUUUCUUUUAGCAAAGGCGGUGAUAUGCUUCACAUGUUUUGGUAAUACCCCAUUACAUAUUUAAGUUGUUUGCAAAUGAUUCUACAUCGAUGGAAAUAAUAUUUUAAGGCGGUUCACAUGGCUCAUUUAUCGCGGGUAGACAACUCGCCAUUCUACCUACAUAGCUAAUUUUUUAGUAUAAACGGUGACAUGAUUCACAUGUUUUGGGAAUAGCCCAUCACAAAUUUAAGGUGCUUGUAAAUGAUUAUAGUCACCGUUCAAUCGGAAUAAUACUUUAAGAUGACAUGUAUGACUCAUUUCGUGUGAGUAGGUGGCUCGCCACUCUACUCGACUGAUUGUUUGGCAUGGGCAAUGACAUGCUUUACAUGUUUUGACAAUACCCCAUUACAUAUUUAAGUUGUUUGCAACCCACCAUUUGAUCAAAAUAAUACUUAAAGACGACUUGUAUGACUCAUUUAUCGUGACGACUUGACUAGGACACAUGCCUUUAGGAGGUGGGAUAAAUUUUAUGUUAUUACUUUUGAAAAUAAAAAAUAGUAACAUCUACUUAGAAACUAUCAUUGAUUUUUGGUUUUUUAGAUUAUUAAAUUUUGUUUUUUAUUUAUAAAACAAUUUCUAAAUCACUUGGAAUGCACAAUCAACGUAUUUUGUAUAUUAAAAAUGUAAUCAUUUUUAAAAAUUAAAGGAUUAAAAAAUAUUUACUAUCUAAUUUUAAAUUUUAAAAAUAGAAUAAAUCUAUUAUACCUUUUUUUAUUUAUUAGAUUUUAUACCUUUUAAUAUAAAAGUAGUAAUUUUUAGAAAAGGAUGUAUUCAAACAAAGCAGCAUCCAAGUUCCCUAUUCAGAGUUCGUAUAUUUUUCUGGUCAAACAAAAAACCAGUAAAGUCCAUUGCGGACGCCACCCACCUGCUCGAUGUUGGGAGCCUCCUGCGAACAAGUCUGUCUCCCACAUAGGACUCCAUCGCCCCCACUGUUCUAAGUUAUUCCAGCUAGCUAGCUAGCUAGCUAUCUCUGCCUACCUUCCGCCCUUCCACAAAUCCAGCAACGCCAGCUGGGUCUCACGACUCUCAUCCGCGAUCCAUCCAUCCAUCAUGUUAACCAAAUCUGAUUGGCCCUCCUCAUUUCCUUUUCAACCCAGACGUACGUUUCAAGCAUGGCGGUGCAUGGUGGACUCCACGUCUCCGUAUCUUUCGCUUCAUUGUUUAUAUAUUUAUAUGUGGUAUCUGGACAUUCAAAACAUUUGUGGAAAAAGACGGACAGACAGAGGUGAUAAAAUUUGAAUUCUUAUAUGAAUAAUUUAACUUGCAGUAGGGUUUACCUCCGUCCAAGUUGAUUUUCGGAGAGGGCGACGGGACGUGGGAACAUGCAUGCAUGAGCUCAUCAUGAUCCUAAUUAAUAUUUACCCUCAUCAUAAUUAAGAAAAUUAAUUGGAUUUAAGAUAGGUUAAUCUCUUAAUUUUAUUAGUCAGGUCUAUGCCAUGCUUGUCGUUUAAUUAAAAAAUAAAUUAUGUGAAAGUUGUAGCGCAUGCACAAGGGCGAUUAAAUUUUAUUUUGUCCAACUUGCACUCAAUUUAUAUUAUAUAUAUAUAUUCUUCCUCAAAUGUCAAGCAUAUAAAUUGUUUUUGUUGAUGUUAAUGUUUCAAAGAUAAUAUAGUUGUGUCAUGUCUCCUUGAUUAAUUAUUCUAUAAUAUUAGUAUUUGGAUAUAAAUAUACAUAAUAUUUUUGUACAAUAUUUGUUGACCCAAAUUCUAUUUGGUCCAAUUUGAAAAACUCGUGAUGGCAUAUGUAAUGUAGAUAUAAUUUUGAGAUUUUUUUACGAGUUAUGAUGAUUAUACUUUUACUCUAAUCCCUCACAACUCCUUUAUCUUGUACUAAUUUUUUGAUAUAAUAGAUUUUUUUCUUUUUUACUGUGAUUUUUCUUAUCCAAGGUUUUUCACAUAAAUCUACGUAUUUUUAUUUUUUAUUAUUUUUUAUUUUAUUACAUAUUCUCAUCAUUGUGUAUCAAAAUAAGAUUUGCCUGCUAGAUUACGUAUUGCAAUCGAGAUCGAUAAAACAAAGAGCAUGCUCCACACUAAUUCCACCGCCUAAAUACCAACCAAAACAAUCAAAGUCAAUUAAGCUCGGCCCUAAUUUUCGGCAUGAAAGCCAAAUGUGACCAAAAGUCAUGCACUCGAUAUGCACUUCCCCUAUAUAUAAAUAUAUAUUUCAAUUCUAUGAUAAAUUACUCCAAACUUGACCAUCCUCCUGAGUCCAUUAAAAUUAAAGUUGAAGGUGUCAUAGCUAGCUAGACAUUUGUCAUCCUAUUAUAAAAAUAUUCAGCGGCGGCGAUAAGCCUGCUCGGAUUGUCCCAAACAAAACUAUAUAGUAUAUAUAUAGAAACCUUAAUGUAUGUCUUAUAAAUAAAAAUUGAAGUCAUUUCCAUAAAAAAUUGUCACCCCUGUAGGCCGCAGCAAGAGUAGAUGGAUAACUUCGUUGCUCUUUUUAUGGUAUUUGUUGUGGCCUUGCAGGACACUUGCUAAAAACUAUAGUCUAAAAUCCCAACUAGCAUUUUCUUUAUACGUACGUUGGUAUUCCACUUUCCUAGCAUAUUCUCUGUCACAUUUUUUGAUUCUCUUUCGGCUUGGAUUAAGCACUUUAUUGUAUAAUGGGAGUUGGAGGCGUGACCACAUGGGUUUACUCGCUGCUCUCGCCGGACCCACCAGUCGCCGCCCCUUUAGAUAUCCAUUGGCAGCCGCUCGUGUGCUUUUGCUUCUUAUCUUUCUGGGCCGCUUAUUUUUAACUUUUCCUUUUGCGGCUUUUGUGCCUGAUGAUAAGGAUUCACUGUUGUUGUUGCACGUAAAAUCGUUUGCUUACUUCUUGUAAGUUUCAAACGUUUUUGUUUGGGCGGUUUUAGUCUCCAAAGCAGAGGAAAUUCUUCUCAUUCAUCGUUGACUUUUAUAAUCACUCACUGUAGUCUACGUUAUAUUUGCUAUAUAAUAAAACUUGUAUAUUCCGAAUUUUUUGGAUGUCAAUUAUACGGGUUUUUUUUUACUAUCUAGUUUACUUUUUUUAAUAAUAUAAAUAAUUUAAAAUUUAUAUUUAUUUACAAAUUAUAUUUAUUUUAAUAUAAUUAAAAUAAAAAUAAAUAAAUAAAUGACACAAGAUGAAUAUGAAAAAUAGAAUCAAAUAAUAGGAGCAAGGGUUAGGAUGGGGUGAGACCGCCAUCCCAUGGACCCUACCUACACGGGAGUUGUUUUAUGAUUGGGUGAUGUGUUAAGUUGCACCUCAAUUUUGGAAUAAGAUAAUUUAAGCCAUAUUUAUCAUAUAUAAUUCAAGGUUAUUAUUAAAUAAAUAUGAUAUAAAAAAUUGUUUAAUAAUUAGCUCUGAAAUUGCCAUGGUCUUUUUGGGUGUUGUGACACACCUCCACGUUUUCAUUUGAUUCAAAAUAUUUCCAUUUUGACUAGGUGCAUCUAGAUAGGAUCAAAUGACCCAGUCCAAAAAUAAAAAGGCUCAUAAAAAUGAAUUGAUAGGUAGCGAAUUGGAAUAAAAGCUAGACUCAAAACGUGUAAAAUGUCCUUUUAGAUGAUUUAAGUAAAGAAAAAGAAAAGUAAAGCAAUCUUUACUUAGCACUCAAUAUCUGAACAUGUCCCAAACCCGCCCCGGGUUUAAACCCAUCUCAUUAGGGAUGGUACAGGGCGGGUUGGGUACUCGAAAAAACUCGCCCGCCACCCUUCCCCGUGUGACCAUGUGGCAGGCCACCUUGGCUUCACGUGACAUCCUUCUAUUUUUGUCCGAACGAACAUAGCUAGACCCGAAUAUCCAAUCCGGAUUAGAAGUACCAGUGGCUAGUUACGUGGUGUUCCUCUAGAACUACGCAAUGCAUUUUGAGUAUGUUUCCUGACCUAUUCCCACAAGCAAUCAUUCCCCCUUACGUCAAAAGCACGUUCGAUGGGACGUCACCCUGUGUCCGUAGACAAUUUGCCACACACUGCAUCAUACUGCCUAUAAACUGAGGUAACAAGUGAACCAUUAGAUCACUCCCUCUAGCAAUCCCUAUCAGCCACUUAAAGGGUAAUGAUUGCUCUGUCAUCAUAAUUAUGAAAGUCAAGAAGUCAUCUCAGCACAGAGGUGACAUUGUUCCAGACCCUAUAAAAGCCCUCCUCCAACUCAAAAUCAAAGUACGCGUGCAUACACACAUGAGGAAGACUCCUUAGCUUCUAAAAUGGGGCAAUCUCUAAAAUUAUCAUUAAUCAUCUAAUUUGAGUUUUGAAGGGUAUGUCUGAAUAACCUGUUCGAACAUCUUUGCAAGACAAAAAGGAGAAGCAUCGCUUCGAGCUGAUCUGACAUCAACAACCCCUAUGCUCAAAUUACUCACUCAUUGUGAGAUGGCCUCGUUUCCCACAAGCCAUUCAACAGGAAAUCAUGAGAUAAAAUAAUAAGAUUUUAAUUUAGUCGGCUCCCUGGUCAAAAUGCCGACUUCCUAAAAUGAUCACAAAAUUUGAAAAGGGAGAUAAGGGGUAUUAAGCACAUUCCCUUUUAUGUAAUUUCAACCAGGUAUUGACCGAAACAAAGAUCUCAGGCUUUUGGUUUUCUUGUUCGUUCACACUACCUUUUUUUGAUAAGACAUUCAACAUGAGGCCAUUUAAUGCCAGGUGUUGGCCUUUGAUACACCCUCGCGUGUUUCUAAGAUUCUUCCUACAUGACUCCCCCACGACUCAUUCAAAUUUGUUUUUGCUUUUUUUUUUUGUUCUUUCUACUGUAUUAUUCCACACUUUUUAUUUGUGUCAAAUGGAAAUAUCAUGUACAUUUUGAAUUGAGGCAAUGAAGAUUUCCCCAUCCACACAUCAUGUCUUGUAUAAGGAAAUUGGAAGGUGCUCAGUGCAUUUAUCUGGUCAAAUCUAUGAAAUAGUAAUGAAAUAUAUAUCUUAAAAUAUUAUAGUUUGGUCUACACUACUCCAAUGUAAAAGCGGAGUUAGAAAUGGGAGCAGAAGCAAGACCCAUGGCUUUUAGCUUUUGGCUUUAUACGGGAAAGAAUUAAUCAUGUGAAAGACAUUAGAAAUACAGAAAGGGGCAUAGGAGUGAAGUUGCGUUUGGGAAUGGCAUAGAUCUGACUUGUUUUUGAAGAAGCCGACAAGCAACAGGCCAACCAUCCCCCCUCUCCGCGUUACUAUUUGCCACGUGUCAGAACACCCCGUAUAUCGGCGCCUUUAAUGGCUCUCAUCUGUCCUUCAUUUCCUGCUUCACCUUUUCAAUGGAUUAUGUACCCUUUGAAUACACCUUUUUCUUUCUACUUUUAGAAACCGAAAUUUAUUUUUGAUAACUAAAAAUAAGACGUACAUCGUAGCCAUCUUAAGGGUCAACUGUCAAUAUAAUCCUCAAUCAACGUGAUUCUUGGCCCCUUCCUCGUAUAUUUGGGGCGAAUGAGACUGUUAUAAGACAAGCAAUUUAUAAAUAAAAAACUCAAGAGUCAUGGCAAUAAAGUUCAUUUUGAGUAUUAAUAUUUCAUUUUAACAAUUAUUUCGAAAGAGUAAAAAAAUUUUGCAAAUCAUGCUCGGAUUGACUUUUGAGAAAAUAAUUUUUUUUUUAACUUAAUAAUAAGAGAGUUUAUAUAAAGAAAUCAUGACUUAAAAAAAAUAUAUAAUAAGUAAAAAGUAAUGAAAAUUAUGAUUUUAACUCUGAUUUUAUUUCAUUAAAAUUAAUUAUAUAAAGUUCAAAGAUAUAUUAUGCAAUACGAUUUAAAAUUUCAAUUUAAAAAAUGAGAAAUGAAUUUUUUUCUUGCGAUACUAAACAUGUGAGAAGAAAGAGAAAUGAAAACAACCAAAACUUUGCCAUACUAUUAUCCACAGUUUGAGGGAGAAAGUCCCCAAUUUAAGGGCUUUUUGAUGGUUCCCCUUAUGUGAGCAGUCCAACGGAUUAAACUGCCACCCAAAGUCCCAACGCAAGUAAAGCAGAGUGGUUCAAACAAAGGUUGCAAAUGGAUCCACAAGUUGCAGUGAGGGUGACCCAAGACGAAUGUAAUAUUGGUAUGGCGAUGGCCCCAUGUCCUAUAACCGCCGGCUCAGUAACCAGUAACCACACGCAUGGGUUUAACUUUGAAGAGAGUCCGAGAAGGAGAGAGAUGGUCUUAUACGGAGCCGGCAGUUGCAAAGUGUGACCCGUGGGUGCGCCUCGGAGUCCAACCAACCGACAUGGCGACAUUUACGCAGUCCCCUUCACGCGGAGACUCUUCAGCCCCACGCGGUUGCCUCCUGCCCACCCAUUCCUCCACUAGCCAAUUCAACAAGUGCCGUUACUAGAAGAAAGAAAUGUAUUUAUCUGAGUGGAAGUAUUGCAAGUGCUUUUGAGUUUUGACCGGGACACAGACAAACAAAAGAAUUAGAAGAAAGGGCCCUAACGAUUAACAACUCUCUUACAUUUCAAUCUUAUCCUAUUUACAAAUAAUCAAAAAUUGUGAACAACGGAAAUGAACCAAAAAAAUUUGUCCUAGCACGGACCGACUAUUCUAUGUUGAUUGAAUUUGAAUAGUAGAGUACAAGGUCAGUGUACGGCAACUCCCCUGUUGAAAUCCAAUAAGGGAUGGUCGUAGGCUUUAGCCAUCACACGCAAUGUGAUGAGCCCAAUUUUUUACACUAACGAAUUCGUGGAGUCCUGGGUGGUUUCAUCCUUCAAUGUCACACUCUCUUCAUCGUCAUCAGAGCCGGUUCCAGUCAGCUCCUUGGCUCUCUGGGCUUGUUGGUCCCAAUUGGUCUGAAACAGAACAAACAACAUUGUCACUGCGCAUGAGCCCUGCGCGGCCAGCAGACCCAGCCAUAGGCCUUUGAAGUCGAACCCUGCGAAGAAACCUAGCCAUACUGCAACUGGCAUGCCCACUAGAUAGAAGCAGCCUAGGUUGAUGUUGGCUCCCAAUUUAGGCCGAGCUGUGCCUCUGAGGGCACCACAGCCUGUUGUUUGUGGGCAGUUUCCGAGCUCGCAUAGUCCAAUUAUAGGUAGGACCAUUGAUGUUAAUGUGAGAAUCUCGGGGUCUUGAGUGAACAUGGUGGCCCAUGUUUUCCUGACCAUUACAGCGAAAAACAGUGCCAGAAAUCCCAAUAUGAAGCUAGAGGAGAGGCCAACUAUUGCAGCCAAUCGCGCUUUCUCGGGACGGUUAGCACCCAGUUCGUUUCCGACCCUUGUUGAUAAGCUGAAGCUGAGAGAAGACGGGAAAAUGUAGAUGAGAGCUGUGGUUUGGAUCAGAAUGCCCAUUGAAGCCACGGUUGCUCGAGGAUUGAGUAAUAGCCCACAUAGCAAGAUCAUGAUUUCGUACCACCACCAUUCUAAACACACCGAAAUGCAGCUGGGAACAGCUAAAUUCAAGAGAGAUUUCCAGUCUCUCAAGCAUUCAGAGGAGACACCUCCCCAAGUUUUCUUGUAAACUCUCGAUACUACAACGUAGGCUAUCAAGGAUCCUACGAGGUUGAGGUUUGUCCAAAUUCCGCUUAGAGCAACGCCUUUGAUUCCGAGAUCAAGCACUGAAACGAGAAAGUAAUUGAUGGGGAUGUGGAGAAGAAUUGCGAGAGUUGCACAGUAGGUUAGGGGCAGUGUUAUGGACUGGGUUCGAAGAUAGAUACGCAGAGGGUGGAGAAACGACUGUGCGACAAGGUCAGGAAGAGAAUAAAGAAUGUAGGAUUGAGCUUCGGUGGCAAUAUCUUCAUCUUGACCACAGAAGAGCAGAAUUUCCUUCAUGUUAAACCAUAGAAAAGCUAUAGGAAUUGACGUUAAAAGAAGCAAAAGCACCGUUCUCUGCAAGGUGAGGCCAAGAAGCUUAUAUCUCUGAGCUCCAAAAGCUUGCCCACAAAUUGGUUCCAUUCCCAUAGCAAGGCCAGAGAGAAUAGAAUAUCCGGUGAUGUUAGCGAAUCCAAUCGCGAGUGAACCGCCUGCUAGGGCAAGCUCCCCUAGGCGACCGAGGAAGAGCAUGGAAAUCAUGGAACGGGAGUAGAGUAAAAGACCCGUUAAUAUCAUGGGAAAAGCUAUACUGGCUAUGUGUCUGGCUUCUGUAAGCGCAAGAGAGAGGUGGGUUUUACUGGGGUUUUGUUCUUGUCCAUGAGGCUGAUCAUCAAGUGUUGGGGCCUUGGGGACCAAAGGAGUGAGCAUGUGGGGUUCCUGUUCUACGGCAGACAACAACCCAGUUUGGUCUGAACGGAACUUAUAAGCGACAGCAGAUGAAGGUAACUGACACAUGGGUGCUUGAGUUGAGACACAGAGAGAGAGUGAAAGAGAGAUAAAGAGAGGCUUUUGGGGGAGUUACCAAAGCGUGCGCGCCGGGAUUUAAAGGGGGUUUUGGGAUUUAAAUGGAAUUUGAAGUGAUUACAAGGCCAAAAAGAGAAAUUGUGUUUGACAGAGCACGAGCUUCCAAGUUCAACUGAAAUUCUUCUCUUGUUUGGAAGCUUUUUCAAGCGUCCAUUUAUGACCGACCUCAUGGUCACUGUUGAGCCCCACCGAAAAAUCCUACACGCUCUACCUUCCUCCUCGAUGCUGUUGUCUUGGGAGCUAUUCGCCCCACAAUUUUUUAUUCCUUCCUCGUUUUUUCAAGACAUGAAUAACGUUUUCAGCUAAGCAUUGGUGCCUUCUCCAUUGCGACCAAAAUUAAAAGAUUGGACGGUUGUAAUACUGGCCCAUUUUGAUUGUGAGUGAUUAUGAGUGUUUGACCUACUGUUUCAGCACAUAUGGAUGAUAUUAAUCUACCCAUUCCUCAGUUUCAUCUAAAAGAACACACAUUUAUUUUAAUGCUUUAAUGUUCGUGACUUAAAUUGAUCAAUCUGGAAACCCAAUUCACUAAAUUUGGAAACUAAAAAUGAGGGAGCCAAUCAAAAGGCAACUUUUUCAAAACGGCAUGACUUCUCAUUUCCAAACCACCCAACAGUUGUAAGUUAUUCAUGCUGUUCAUACAUAAUCCAAAACGAGGAAUGCUUUACCAUGGUAGCUCAAUCCAUGCUGCUUUUCAUCAACAUGCUGAUUGAUAUUAUAUUAAGAAUCGAAUGAAUACCGACAUGAGGCCGAACUGCCAAGCUAUGCAAAUGGCAGUCUCGUAAACAACUCUUCCUUGUCUUCACUGCCGUCCUCAUCUUCAACCUCAUCAAUCAGACAACUGCAGGGACAAAACAAAAUUUUGAGAAAAAAAAUGGGGGGAGAAGAUGGAGAGCAGUACAAAUAUAGCUAACUGCCAUUAAACAGUUACAGGUGGUUUGUUUGUUCUAUGUGAAGGAGGGAACCAACAGACUCCAUGUCACAUGCAUGUUUUUUCUAUAGAACUUUUAUGCUGAAGUUCAGCUUGUGAAGAAGUCUAUGCAUCCAAAAGAUGAUUAUCUGUAUGCUUUAUAGGACGCACAUGGUUGAACCGAAUAGCGAUAUAAUUUUUUUUUCUAGUAAAACUUGGGGUGCCGCAAGGCCCUGCAGUUCAUGGCCAAGAUACGUUUUAAGCAAAACCCUUAUACUCAGUAAUUAUUCUUCAUCUUUUGGUUGAGACUGGGAAAUUGCUCUGUUCCUUUGGUCAAUAAAUUGAAUCUUCCGUGAUUAAGAGUUGAUCCAACGCCUUGGCCAUGUAUUUAUACACGUUGAGAAAAAUCUAGGAGAAGUUUCAAUGUUUGGACAAGCAUAAUCAGCAUGUGAGUAAUUUUACACGGACUGCAGGCUUAAAGGGACAACAAGUAAGAGAUCCAAUCCAAAAUUGACUAUCUUCCUACAUUUCUAUCACGCUUCUGGAUAUGAUAGGACUAAAUGUGAAGACUAAACCUGGUGAAGCAAGAAAUUUCUUCAUUGAUUCAAAUACCAAAAAGACUAAUUUUCCAAGAACUGUGAUUUUUACUCAGUUCAUGGAAACCGCCAAUAUGACCAAUAUGUAGUCAUGUCAACAAUCCAUAGUGUAAGGAAGUUUCAGUCUUUGGCCAAGUUGGAGAGAUAGAUUCAGCUGUGAAGUUUGGAAGAUGAAAUUCCGGGUUCUAGAAUGUGGGGUUAUGUUUUUGUUUGUUAGAUGAAAUUCUGAGUUUUUGAGUGUGGGAUUAUAUGUUUUUCUCUGCUAAUUAUUCUUGAUUGAGUUGGUGGCCCCCCAGAGACAGGGGGCAAGUGGUAGAUUAGUUGGCAAGGCAUUAUGCCAAUGGCAUUCUCCAUCUUCCAUUUGGAAGAAAGGAAGAACAGCAGUAUAAACAAAGGUAGCACAAUUACUCACAACUGACGAGAAUUCAAAUCCCUCUCCUUUAUGAGUUUUCAUUUCUCAGGAAAAAGACCCUGUAUGCAUUCUAAUUAUUCAGGAAAGUUCAUUCAUAUUCACUCAUUUUUCAAACUGAUAUUCAUAUUUUUUUAAUGAAUAAAGAUUCAACCACUUUAUAUGAAUAGAGGAAAAUUAUGCAGCCAAAGGAAGGAAAAACAAAACAAAAACAGUUGGUACAAUCAGUAGUACCGGGGAACAUUCAAAAUUCAACCAGCGUUUUUUUGCACUAAAAAGAAGCUGCCUACUCCAAUGUUAUCAUUGGUCAAAUUAUGUUGAAACAUGAACUUAAAUCUGCUAUAGAUCCACACCACCAUUGACAGUCUCCAUGGCAUUAUGUGGAGGAGGCUCAUCAGUCUCAGAUUUUUUCCAGUACCUGUCUCUUCAGUUUGAAUACACUUAGUUUCAAGCAACAAGUAGCAUAUAAGCAUGGACAUCAUCACUACAAAGAAUGAAAAGAAAAUGAAUAGACAAGACUUCAAGUGGCAUAGCAUCGCAGAGAAGAUUUUAGCAAAUCCCAAAUGUAAAGAUCAUGUUAACCAAAACUUUAAUACUCUGAGCAGCAGAUGGGAUUUCAAUAGAAAAAAUUUCAUUGGCACCAACCGCCCUAGAGGCCACAUGACCUUGCAAAUCCUGCAAUGGACACACAAAUAAGAAGAACCACAGCAGCAGCAAACUCCUUGGAGAGUUCACCAGGUUUCCCACUUAUUCCAAAUUUAAAGGGAAUAUCGAUCAUAACGAAAAUCUGCACACAAGCAGGACCAUCAAAACGAACAUAAAAAGGGCUAGUAAACUGAAAAAAGUUAUAAACAACACAGAAGUAAAUGAUAUACCUGACAAGUGAGCAUUUGAGCUCCACCUUCAAGGAAGAGUUUCCUUCCUCUGCACAGACUGAAACAAGGGUAGUAGCAGCAUUGGCCAUGGCAGGGAUCAGAGGAUAUGAGUGCAGUACUACUUCCAAAACCAAGUGUCCUGAAGCAUAAACAUAAAUUCAUGCCAGUGAGUUGCUGCAAGGAUGAGAAUAGCCAUUGUCAAUUGGGGUCUAUACUUUCUGGACUCGACUUCUCUUGAUGCUUUACUAGCAUGUAGAUCAUUGAGCUCCAUAUGGACACUGGCAACACCACCAAUUCUUAUAAGUUUUCUAUUGGCUUCAUCAUCUGUCCCACAUUCAAUGAAAGAGUUGAGUGCGUUAGAAAGAAACAAUGAAACCAAACCAAUUGUGAUUAUUAAGGUAGCCAAAACAGCACCUCCCAAGCUCAAUAGCAGAUGUAGAUGAAUAUGUGAUAUGAUAGAAUUGUACACUGCAGAAAUUUUGUUUGAUUUACAGAAGAGACUGCAUAGGAAGCAUGAAUUAGGAAGAAAAAAAGUAGUCUUUGCUGGACCACAAUCCCUUUUUAAUUUAAUUUGGACCAUGUAACUUAGCAUUUUCACAAGUUCCUCCUUUUAUCACCCAAACAGAAGGGUAUAGCUCUACUUCAACAAUAUGGAAUGACCAAUUCGAGAAAUGAUAAGUUGUACAAAUCUUAUUGUAUCUUACACAACUCACAUACAUUUUUUUCCCCUGAGAAUAUACAGCAGGAUCAAGCUAAAAAAAAGUUCAAAGCAUAGCUCCUCAGCAAUUUUUUGCUCUCCAAAAGUAGGGCACAAUUGAUAGUACAAAACAAAAUAUUGCAUUGGCAAAAACUUCUAGACAAAAAAAUUUCCUUUAGGGCCUACGUAUCUUCAAAGGAGCCCAAGAACAAUACACCAGGAAAAAUGCUAUAUUGUAAGAAACAUUCCCAAAUUCAUCUAAUCAUUUUGAAGACUCAUUGCUUAUACAAGGUCUUGGAUUCGGCUUUGACCAUCUUGUCCUAAAUUUAGAUAAUUAUUAGGAAAAUUUGCCAUUUAUUUGGAUCAAAUUUUUUAUAAUCUCAUUUGAAAAUUAAUUGAUGUUUACUGAAGAUAGGUGUGAUCUGUGUCUAAGAACCAACAAGAUCAUCCAGAUACAGUGAUGAAGUGAACAAGGCUAAUAUUUCAGUAUCAAACUUUAGAAUGAUUUACUGCCAUUACCGGCCAUCUCCGCCGAUGAUUGUUGCCGCCCAUCUACCAUCCCUAUUGCCGGUCAUCUCUGUCACCGCCACUCCUCACUAAUCACGGUACGUUGUCGCCCUCUUCUGUACCACCAUCGAAGAACUGCUUGUUAAGGCUCUAUGAAAAGGGAACCUUAUUCCCAUUUUCGUUCUCUUUUCCUAUUGUGAUGACGCUGUGAAUAGGGCGAGCGGAGAGAGAUGAUGGGCCUGAAGAAGAAGGGUCUUAUAACUUAGAAAUAGUUAAACUUAUGUUUUGGGCAGCCCAUUCGGAAAUAAGCCCGGUAUAAGUGGUGUCUGCUGUAAAGUUUGGGCUUAUGUUAUAACUAAUUAUUUGUGGGCCAAUUUAAGGCAUUUUAGGUCCAUUUUCCGGUGGGUCGAUUGAGUUUUGGGCUUAAUUUUGAGUACUUUUUAUGUGAACCAUUUAGGCUUAUUUUUGAAGAGAUAUUUUGAAAUAUACCACUUGAGAAUUUGGUAGCUCUUUAUGAUUGCUUAUAAUUAUUAAGAAUUAAUUGAUUAAAAGGAAUAAAAUAAUCCCUAAAUUUAUGAAUCUAACCUCAAAUUUGGGAAAAAACUUUGAUAUUUUUUAUUUUUUAAUUAUAUUAGAAUGAUGAAUCUAUUAUUAUUUUUAAUUAUUAAAAUAUAUUUAAUAAUAGAAGUUUAAGUUUAUGAAUAAUUAUUUAUAUUAAAGCAAUAAUUAAUAAUUUAUUUUAUAAUUAUUUAGCAUUUAAUUUUAUGAUAUGACUUAUAUUUUAUGUACUCUAAUAUAAUUGUUUUGUUUGAUAACCCUUCAAAACCUUUGUAUCCUGCGGGAAUCCAAAUUGGGUCAUGGGCUUUGCAUAGGUUAAAAAUUUCUACCCCGUCUGGUUUAGACAUAUCGAUAGUAGAUUUGAACUGAAUCAAUCUUCUGACCCAUUCAGCCCACUCAAAUUCUAACAAUAGCAUCAAUUGGCUCCAGAAAAAAGAAAGAAAGCUUUCAAGACAUAAUUUCAUAAGGUUUAAAAAUCAAAAUAAUCAUAGACACGGCCCAAAAUUAAAGUUAGGCUUAUUGUAAACAAUAAUGUAUUAACAAUAGAUGGACUGAUCUUAAAUAUUUAGAUUGAUCACUUGCAUGUAUCCUACGACAACCUUCUUCCGUAAAAUAAUUAAAUCCAUCCAACCUGAUGUUUGGGUUGAUAUGAGCAAAGUAUGAAUGAAUUAGGGUAAGAUUUGAGUUAGAAAAAUACUUACUUUAAAAUAUAACUAUUGGUGCGGGUUGAAGGUCCGGGUAAUCCAUUGAAACCUCAACCCGCAUAUUAUUUUUAAAUAUGUCAUAGAUUAUUUUAUUAAAAUAUAAAAAUAUAAAAACAUAAAUAAAUAAAUAAAUAAAUUUGACUAGGAAAAUCUGAUAUUUUUUAUCAAUCAUAUUUGAUAAUUAAGAUAUUUUGUCGUACUACUACCUGUCCUAUCCUAUCCUAUCAUUUAAAUGAAAAGUGAAAAUAACAAAGGAAACAUUGUUCAAGACGAGUGCACGCCUCCACAUUAAUGAGUUCCACACUCGCACCCCCCUUUCAUCCACUAAUGUCGACCUCAGCUCAGCACCUUCCAAAUUGGGUACAACUUUUGUAAACACCGAAUUUCAGGGAUAUUUCCCCUUGGAAUAAUUGAUGAGCAUCAAUGCUGGCUUUAAUCAACUCAACGCGUCACAUGAAAAUUUUCCAUCCCCAAUUUUCCUAUAACAUAUGAUUCCAUGCAGAUGUGGAGCGGAAAAGAAAGUUACGGAUACAUUUGAUAGUUUCGCAAAAACCUCACAUCAAUCUUAAAAAUGAAAGGCUGCUUUCAUGGCCCGACCAUUAUAAAGUUCUCCAACCCAUAAAGCCUUGGCAAACACUUUGGUUAAGGAUUCUUAGAUUUUACAAGUGAUGAUUCAAUUCAUGUGCACAUCAAAAAUGAGUCAUAUAUAUAUAUAUGACACUGACUCGUGGUACCAAGUGGGCUCUUGGCCAUGUAUGGAAUAGGCCACGUUGUUGGUUCAACUCGUCCACCCACCUAGCCAAAUACAAAGCUUUGACUGUAAACAUCCAUAUCUGAAAAAACCUCCUUUUCUGGGUUUGUUUUUGUGGUUAGUUUCCUUUUGUGAUUUGGAUACAAGCUUCGAAACGCGGUCUUGAGCAAACAUCAGGAACAGCAGGAUGUGUAUAAAGCAACAUGGCAACAUGUGGUUUGUGGCAUAUUUCGCUUACAAUAUUGUUGUUUUGGAAUUAAUAUAUAUUGAAGUGCUGCAGUACCUGUAACCCAACCUUUUCCUAAUCAAAUGCUCCUAGCUAAUUUUAGGUAUAAAACUAACGGACACAAGAAAAUGAAUUUAUGGAUUGGUCAUAUCGGAGUUUGUUUGUUCUCUGCUUAGUGUGUGUUCUAGGCCACCAAGCUGGAACUAAUUUCCUUUUCUUGGCAGCCAAACUGGGUCACAGAAAAAGUGUUUGAGCAUGACAAAUUGGAAUGGAUGCUUACCAGACAUGAUGGAAUGAAAAAAUUAAAACCAAAACGAACUUAGAGAAAGGUUCUAGUACUGGGACAUAUCUAGGCUUUUUAGCUAGGCACAAAGAUCAGCAAAAAAGAGGGAAAAAAGAAAAAAAAAAAUCUUUGACCCUAAACCACCAACUCCCCCAUACUGCGUGAACUAUUUAAAUGAUCAAUGCCCAUUAUUUAAUUUCGCAGCCAAAUUGUGGUGGAGCUUAUGCUUAACCAGUACUACUGGUCUCAUCUACCUUCCCCACACUGAUUUUCCUGGUCUCGAAUCUGAUCACGUCCAAUAAGAAUAAAGUCUGGCUCUCACCAACCCUUUCCUCCAACCCCACCAGUUAAUUUUCUCAAAAUCUAGUACUUAUCACGAACUCUAACGUACCAGCCAGGGUUUAUGUAGCACUGGCCCAUUGGAUGAGUGUAAUAGUGAAUUUCCAAAGGAAUUCAGUGGGAAGGGCUCGAGCUGAUUGCACCAUGGCUGCAGUGUAGACAACAGCUAAUUGCUAGCUUGAGGGCUAAUGGGGGCUAAAGCGUGUGCACUCACUAUCAAAUACCAGCCCAAAAACCCUUGGCAAAUAUCACAUUCAUUCCGCGAAUUGCCCACGCUUUUACUUUUUAUCAACCCAUAUUCUCCCUUAAAUACAAACCUUAACAUAACCCCUGAAUGCUAGAGUCAAUAGUGAUAAAUACUUCUAUCCUUCAUAAACCCCACACUCUAUAAUAUAUGGCUCAUAGUCAUGCUACAUGACAUGCGCCAAGUAGACUAACCUUGUCCAGCCUAUCUUCUCCAAUCUCCAUCCACACGUGCCAAAACCAAAAACCCAAAAAAGAAAAGAAAAAAAAAAUUCCAACUCCGGAUACCACCACGAUAUGGCGUCCGCCUCCGCCGGGGGCUCAGCCAAACAGCCCUCCCCUGGGAGACACCCAAUGUAUAGGGGAAUCAGGAGUCGGAGUGGCAAAUGGGUGUCUGAGAUCAGGGAGCCACGUAAGACUACGCGGAUAUGGCUUGGGACGUUUCCGACCGCUGAGAUGGCUGCUGCUGCCUAUGAUGUUGCCGCCUUAGCCUUAAAAGGGACAGAGGCGGUUCUCAACUUCCCGGACUUUGUUCACUCGUACCCGGUUCCGGCAUCAGGGUCACCAUCAGAUAUUCGUAGUGCAGCAGCUGCUGCUGCUGCGUUGAAGAAAGCGCAGACAGACGAUGGCUCUGCAGCACACAGCAGGCGUGAAGAUGAUGGGAGGUUCGAUGUUCAUACUAAUACUAAUACUACGUCCGAGGGAGAAUUUGUGGACGAGGAGGCAUUAUUUGAUAUGCCUAAUUUGCUGGUGGAUAUGGCGGAGGGAAUGCUGGUGACUCCGCCAAGAAUAAACGUGCCAUCCUCUCCCUACACGCCGGAGAAUUAUGAUGGAGAUAGUCUGUGGAGCUAUUUUUAACAAAGCUCUCCUUAAUCACCCAAUCACAAAAAACUACCAAAAAGAAAAAAGAAAAAAUAUGAAACACAAACCAUAGAAAUACAACUAGCUUGGAGCCGGCAGCAUGUACUAAUGCUAUGUCAGUGAAUCAUGCAUUGUGAUUUUUGAAAGCAAAAGAAGGGGUAAGAACAAGAAAGAAGAUGAUAGCUAGGGUUUUGGUAGAGUUUCUUUUUUUCCCAACAUGUUGGGUUUUGAAAACCUAUGAGUGCAUGAACAAGGUUGCAGCUAGCGUUGUAGAAUUUUGCCAUGUAUGCUUAAGGGGUUUUUAUUUUUUUUCCUAUUUUUAUUGAAUGUAAUGUACCCUUGAUUUUCUCUUCUCUUGUAGAAUGCAAUCAGAUUGGGUGUAUGUGCCAUGUGCCCUCCAUAAUACUUGGUAGCUGAGUUUCUGGUAUCUCUUUAAUUUCAUCCGAGUGGAUCAUAUAAUGAAUGAGAGAGAUAGACCUGAUAUAGGAGCUUCUGCUAUCUCUUUAAUUUCUCCCUAGCUAGUGGAUCAUAUAAUAAGGUGAGAGAGACCAGCCAUGGUAGAGGAGCUUCUGGUAGCCCUUUAAUUUCUCCUCAGUGGAUCAUAUAAUAAAAAGGAGGAAGAUCCUCUGUAGAACAUAUAAUAAAAAGAAGAGAGAAAGAGAGAGAGAGAGAGCUUGCUGUAAGUAAUUCUGGCUUUCUUUAAUUGAGUAAACCAAUUUAGUAGUGAGCCGAUGAAGAUUCUGAACUAAAAAACUUGAGCAUUUUAAGCAAGGUAACAGGACUCAUGAUGCUUGUCCCCAAUGACAUUUUUGCUACGAGUAGUCUUGCUGAAAUCUUGCAUUCGUCCGGAAUUUGAGACCUCUGAGUCAAAUCUUCAUGGGUCCCAGAUGCUAAAACAUUGUCAAUGCGAUGAUAGAUUGAAUUCAAGAAAACAACUGGGUUCUGAAAAUACAUAAAAUAUUACUUGAUUGUACAGUUCCAACUAUUCAUGUACUCCCUCUCCAUUGUUAGGUGAAGACCUGGUGAAGCUGAGUCCUGUCUCAUGAUUAGUCACCUUGGGCCUCAUUUGCAACUUCUUUUACCAUGUUCCAUGAUCAUUUUUUUUUUGAGAUACCCAUUUGAAAAUUCUCCCGCCAAAGAAAAAUAAAAAAAAAGCUCUUUUGACACUGGUACUGUUUUAGCCAGAAGAGUUGAGAACUGCUUUUAGGAGUGAAAGUACUUUAUAGGUUUUAGCAAAGGGAAGACAAUCAAAAAAAUGGCUAAAAAAUUACCAUAUAUAUUAUUACACCCGAACUCCCCAUGCAAAAGAGAAUGUCACCUGCAUUCAUAUAAUUCAAAAUUAAAUUCUGUGGUUGGUGUGAACUUUCGAAGAAGGAAAAAAGGGAUUUGAUGAGAUCCAAUAUCAUAUAUUUUCUCUAAUGUGGGGUUUGAGUCCUUUCUACCACAAUGUCCCCCCAAAAAGUACACAAUGGUGUGCAGUGACCAAAAGGCGAAGACCUAUCUCCAAAGCCUACCUUGAAUGAUUCGUUGACACAUCCACCGCCAUUUUUUUUUUGUCAAAAUUAAUCAAUUAUACAAUAGAAAAAGAGCCAUAAUCUGAGCAUGUUAUUGGAUAAUUGGCCCACAAAACCUAAAGCUAAAAAGAAUUGAACCCUUUACGUUUCAAACCAAUCUAGUUUUUAGUGUUGCCGUAUCCUCUUAUAGGAGAUUUGACCUCAUUUUUAAGGAGACAAGCAUCUAUUACCAUAUCUUGCGGGCCAUAUGACAUGUACUUUUUAUAGACAAAAAAUCCACCCUCAUAUUCUACUAUAUGUACAUAAAAUUAACUAGAUGCACGACCCAAUCAAAGCUUAUUCACACCAUCAACCUUAGAAUUGACCACAUUGAAGCUCCAUUCAUGCCUCACAAUGUAAAUCUUUCUAUAAUUUCCUUUUUCUAUAAUAUUUUUUGGGUCUAACCAAAUAAGAACAUUAAGAUUUUUUCCUCUACCACAUUUCAACUACCUCUCAUUGUCUACUUGAAAAGAGAAUAGAGUUGAGGAAAUAUUAAAAAGAAAAAAAAAAGGAUAUAUUGUAAUCAAAACUUGUUUUUAUCUUCAUUAUUUUCUACAUUCUUGAUUUCUUUAUCUUUCCCUUAUGUGUAGAAAAAGUUAAGGUUGGCUUAACUAAAUAAACUACAUUGUGAUAGUUGUUGGAGCAAGUCUUUGUUCAAAAGUCUUUUAAAUUUGUGGAUUUAGGUGAGGUUUGUUUUUUCACUUAAUUCUAAAUUAAAUUUAAAAUUAAAUAGUAUUGAGUUAUAUUAUGUAUUAGGUAGUUUGUUUUUAUAAUAUUUUAUUUUUAUUAAAUAUUAAAAAGUAAAAAAAAUCAAUAUGUUAUUUUUUUUAUUUAAAAAAAUUAAAUAUUUUAACUUUUUAUAUUCAAAAUUUUUUUUAUAACAAAUUGUAAAAAAGUAAAAUAAUAACUAAUUUAAAAUCCUAAAUUAAAUUGUUAUAAAGCUAAAAUAACAAACACCCUCUUAGAAUUAUUAUUAUUUUAAUUAGUCUUAAAAGAAGUUGCUUUUAAAAAUUAAAAUUUAAAAUAUCUUUGAAGUUAUUUGGUUUUUAAUUUAUCUUUUUUUAAUAUAAUUUUCUCUUUAUAGAAAUGACCAAAAUAUUUUAUUUUUAUCUUAAUGAAAAAAUCACUUCUUUUUCCUUUCUCUUUUCCAUGUUAACUUUGUUAUACACUUAUACUCAAAAAUGAAAACAAGGAGCACUAAAUUUUAUAAAAAUGAAUAUAUUACAAUUCUUCAAAAUUUAAUCACAUUAAACUAACAAUCAUCAAUUUAAUGAAACCCUUAAAUCGAAUUGUACUAUUAUUUUCAAAUUAUUAAAUUUUAAAUUAAAAUAAAUAGAUUUAAAAUUAAUAAAAAUAAAUAAACAACCAAAUUAGUUAAUCACAUUCAGAUUUAUUUAGAAUUAAGUGAAAUGAGAAAAAAACAAAACAAAAACAAACAAACACCGGCCUCCUUCCACCAUUACAAUCUUGGGUAGACGUCCUUUCGUUUAUUGGCAUUACAUUUUAAUUCGAUGGGUCCACAAAGUCAGUGCAUGAUCCUGGAAAGCUUGUAAUCUUUUCCCACUUCUUCUCUGCAACCAACCAGAUGAGAGCACUGUGAGAGAAAGAGAGAGGAAGAUGGGAAGAAAACGAGUGGGUAGAAUAGAGAUGGGCAAUGAGGGCAUCGGAAAGGUGCUGAGGGCCUUUUAUCAUCCAUGAUGAAAUCAGAAAGACAAGAGGUGUUGUGGGGCUGCGUCUGCAAAAAGAAUCUUUGGAGGGAAAUUAGCAGCCGCAAUUUUGAAUGACACUUUGACUGAGAGAAUACAAACAUGGCCGACACUGCCUCCUUUUCCUUUCACUGCCUCGAUAUUACAGGUUGGUGAUAGCUCCGUUUCUUUCUCUCACUUCUUUUGCGUAGGCUACAGAUUCACUGGUCGACCAUGAACGAAAGGCCCCUUUGCAAAGUCCAAAGGCUCAGCAACUGCAUUUGGAACGUGCCCUUUUUCAUUUUCCUUGAAUUAGAUGUUCUGAACGCGGAAGUCGCUAUCAUCAUCAUCAUGCCAUUUGAAUACUUUGGUUGUAGAACAAGUUACAGAUCCAUUUUCCUAAUUAUGUUUGAGCUUGAAUCAUUACGGCUAAUCCUUUUUUUUGCCCACGGAAUAUUAAUAAUGAACGGUCAAGAGUCAAGACUAUAAUUUCAGUACCAUUUUGUUGAAUAUAAAAUGAUUUUAUUUUUCCCAACUUUUUUUCGGCAGAAGACAAUGUAGACUACUCCUAAAGUGGGUCCUAAAACGUUGAAUUUGCAUUUUCCAGAUGUUCCUAGCUAGGGUGGUCCAUGAAGAAACAAAAGAAAAAGAAAAUGUUUAAUUAUAAAUUAUAAUUUAGGGUGAUUUGAAAGUUACUUCUAGACCAUGACUUUUAGUGCGUAUUUGAUAAAAUAAUUUAAUAGCUUAAUAUGACUUAAUUUAAGUCAUUAAGGAAACUAUAUGUAUUUAAUAAAAUAAUCGUAAUGUUAUAAUUUAAAAUUAUUUUUAAUUUUAAAUCUUUUUUAUUCAUACCGGUAAGAGUAUAUCUUAAUAUUAUAAUUCUACCUCCUUAAUAAAUUUUUUUAUAAAUAUUUCAUGAUUAUUUUAUAUAUUUACAAUACUUUAAAUACAAAUUAUUUAUAAAAGUUUUUUUAAUUAAAAUUAAUAAAAAUAAAUGUGAGUUGAAAUCGAUAAAGAUAAAUAUUAGUUAAAAUUAAUAAUGAUAAAUAUGUUAAUUAAUAAUUUAAAAAACAUUUAAAAUUAAUUUUAUUAAAUAAAAAAUAUAAGUAAUAAGUUUUAUGUUCACAACUUACAAAUAAUUUCACUUAAAAUCAACUUAAGUUAUUAAGUAAUAAGUAUUAAGUAAUUGAGUAAUACUCUAAAUAACUUUUUUUGUUGGGUUGGUAGAUGUUUUUAAUUAUUAUUUGAAUAUAAUUAAAAAGGAAAUAUGUUUUUGUAGCUUUUUUUUUUUAUAAUAUGUCACAUUAAAAAAAUAUAAUUUUGAAAGAUAUUUUUAAAAAGUAUUGCAAAUUUCAUUUUUAUUUUUUAAAAGUGUUGCUUUAAAAUUUAAACUUAUUAACUAUUUAAUUGAAAAAAAAAUCAUGCUCAUCCUUGCCUAAUAGGUUCCAAUUUCUCCUCAAAUAAUGUUAUAUUUGUGAAAUAUUUUUCCACCCAUAUUUUUGUAGAAUCAACUUGCCAUGUUUCCAUGUCUUUUAGGCCUGUUGAAUCAAUCCAAAGAAAUCAUUUAAAAUUAGGAAGAAGUGGAUUUGACCAGUCCUGCUUUUUGGAGUCCAGAGAAGUGUCUUGUGCAAUCUUUUCAAUAAAAAGAGACACAAUUAUCAUCAAUCUUCCCCCCCUUUCCAAAAGAGGAUGCCUACUGACAAACAUUAUCAUACAAACCCACAUUCAUUUAUUGGAAACCCUCCACUUUAAGAACCCCAUCAGCAACCCUAAGUAAAAGAAAAUGUUUGUUUAAGGCAAGGUUUGAUCAUACUUACAGUGGAGGGGUGCAUGUAAUUUUGAAUGGGUUGCUUCUCAAAAGUUCAAAACAUCUCUGAAGAAGUGGGCUGACACAUGAUUUUCUUUUUGUUAACCUCUGGUCCACCAAAGGGGUUUUCCCCAAUGAUCCAAAUCAUUGUGUUCUUUUGGUUUAUUAACUAUCUCUAUAUAUAUAUAAGAGAUUAUUAUUAUUUUCUUUGUGGGUGCUAAUCAUUAAACUACUGUUUGGUUUAAGCAUAAUCACAAAUUGAUUACACUUAAACAUUUGACUUUUUAUCAUUGUCAUUUGAAGUGUAUACCUCACGCAAAAUUGUUUUACUUGUAAGAUUAUUUUAAAGUUAUAAAUACCUUGAUGGAAAUUAAGUCAACAAUAAAAAUAACAAACGAAAUUAAUUAAUUUUAUUAAUUUCAAUAAAUAUGAAAUAAGUUGUCAAAUUUCUUUUUGAAAUACCCAAAAUCCAUAUUAAUUGUUUUAUUGAUAAAUUUUAUGUCCCAAAAUAGAAUUAUAAAGAUUGAGAACCACUUUGUUUACAUAAAUGUCUUGAUCUUUGUUUUCAUGGAAAAUAAAUAAAUAAAUUCAUGAGAGGGAACUUUUUCUAUGUAAAUCUAUUCAUUUCAAUCUUUUUUUUUAGAGAAGGAGAGAGAGAAUUUCUUUUUUAUUAUAUAUAGUGAUAGUUUUUAGAUAGUUUUAACUCCAAAAAUCCAUUCUUUAAUUUUUCAUUUUGUUGGAUCAAGUCGAGUUAGCCCAUUUGAGUACUCAAACCCAAUUCUAACAUGUAUUGUUUACAAAUGAACAUACUUUUGCUAUAUUCAACCGACUUUCUGAUUUUGAUUCGAUGAAAGAGCAUGUAUUAAAGAGUGGAAGGAUUUGUUCUUAAUUGAAUCUUUGGAAGAACUUUUUUAUAUCAUUCCAAAGAAUCAGAAUUUUUUUUUUUUUUUUUAUCUUGAACUUCAGCUUUGAACUGUAGAGAAUCACAGUUGUGAUUUGAUAAUAUCCUAAGUUGAUGAAAAAUAUUUGAAAAAAUUCAGUCCUUUCUUAUAAAGCUUCUUUUCUAGGUAAACCUUUUGAGGGCUUAUCUUCUUAUUUUUCCAGGUGUUCUCACAUUAAAAAGAUGACACCUGUAUUUAUUGGUGGCGUCGGAAAGCUCAUUUUUGACAUUUCAAAAAUUAUCCCCUCUGAUUCAAAUGACUUUUUGAUUUCAAAAGUUUGUCAUCUCUAGAGCAAAAUUUUCAUCAAGGCUAAUAUAAUUUUUGCUCUUCCCUUUUAGAUUUAAUUUGAUUUGAUAAGGCUUAAUUCUAUCGUCUUUCAUGCUAUACACACAAAUUUUUCUUUAAAAAAAUAAUUAUGUGUCAACAAAUCGAGUUUUUAUUGAUUUAAAUAAUGAUAUGGGUAUAAUAUCUAUUUUAUCCUCCAAUUUUUUUUUUCUUAAUUGUUAAUCAAAAGCUUUGAACAAAUUUGAUCUUAAAUGACUUAAGGUUUUUAAGUCAUGUUUUAAUAUAGUUUAGAGUUUUGACUUGAUUUUCGUCUUAUAUCUUGGUGUCCUUUGAAUAUCGGCUUGAUUUUGACGUCAGGAUAACUUAAGGCUUGUGACUUGAAUUUUGGGCCUUCUUGUGAUUUGGGCUUUGACAUUACCUGAGAUUUAGUGUGAAUUGGGCUUAGCCUUGACUUGAAUAAUAAUUGAUUAAGGGCUUUAGCAACAUGAUCUCAUUUCUACUACAUGUUUUGAAGAUAUUGACACGUCAAAAAAAAAAUAUAUAUAUAUAUAUAUAUAUGAAGAAAUUGAUGGAGAUUAAAAACUUUCUAUUUACAUUGUUUCUAGUUCCUGAGAUGUAUAAUUCUUUAAUUAAAUUUAAUAUUAAUGGAGAUUUGAAAGACCAUAUCGGAAGUCAGAACUCUUUUAAAUAUUAUUUUUUAACUAUAAUAAUAUUUAAGAAGAUUUGAAAGACAGUAGUUUUUAAUUUUUUUAAUUAAAAAGAUUUAAUAAUUACUUUUUUAAUUAUCAAAUUUAUCACUUUUUAUUCAUUCUAAUAAUUAUCUUUUAAUUAUCAAAAUAUUUAUUUUUUUAAAAUGGAAGACAACUUGUUGCAUAUGAUUUUAUUUUGUAGAAAACUUAUAUAGCAUGAUGACUAUUAAUUUGUGAUAUAUUAAAUUAAUUAUGUGCAUUUGAUAUAAUUUGAUUUUUUUUUCAUUAAUCCACAAUUAAAUUAAUUUGAAUAUAUCCUUUCAAAAAGUUAUUCAUUUUUUAAACUUGAUUUUUUUUUGUCAAAAAAAAAUCUAAUUUAGUCUUCUUUAAUCCUGAAAUUAGAUAUGUCAAAUUUUUUUAACACAUUUCAUAUUUUUUUCACAAGUUUGUUGAAGAAUGUUUGUAGUCUAAUGCUAGUUUAUUACUCCAUUUUUAAGAAGCUCUUCAAGUUUUCAAAGAUUCGAAGAAUAAAGUUGAAGGUUUGAAGAACAAAUUUUAAUAUUUGAGGUUCAAUUUCAAAACAUCUUCAAUAUGAGAUCAAACAUUCACAUUCGUGGUCAAUGUUAUUUAACUCCACCUAAGGUUCAGGCCCAAGCCUAAAUUAAGAUAAACUCCAGGCCUAACUCCAACCAAGGUCCAAGGUUAAGCAUUGGUCUAGGUAUGGUCUAAGCCCAAGCCCAGGUACAAUUACAGUCUAAGUUUGACCCUAAGUCAAGCCCAAGUCCAGCCUUAAUCAUGCCAAGGAAUAGGUUCAUCCAACCAAGGUUUAAGUCUAAACCUAAAAAGAUGUUUGGUAAAAUUUAAGAUUUAUUUUUUAAUGACUGAAGUUAUUUUUAAGUUAAAUUAUUUUGAAGUGUAUGAUUUAAAACUUACUGCUUAAUUUUCAUUUGAAACAUUAAAGUUGUUUGGUAAAGUUUACUUAAAUUUAUUCUUAAUUAUCAAAUUAACAUAUUUACGUCCCAUUAAUUUUAACUAAUAUUUACUUUAAUUAAUCUAAAUUAAUAAAUUUAUUUGUUAAAGGUAUUUUUGCAUAAAUAUAAGAUAACUAAAAAAUAUUUAUUAUAGAAAAUGAGUUAUGAAUGGAGUAAUGAUUGUGUAUUACUUUUACUAAUCAUAGACAUAUAAGGUAAAAAAACAUUUAAGAGAACGAAUAAGUAAACUAUUUUGACUUAAAAUUAUUAUUUUUUGAAACAAUAAAUUUACUUUUAACUAAAAAAAUAAACCCACCAAGUGCUUUAUCACUUUCCAAUGACACACACAAGCACUCUACCAACAAAAAUGGUUUAAUGGUUUGAUUUUUAAACUUAUUUUUCAUUUUUCAAUUAAAUAUAAUUUCAAGAGAGAGAAAAUGGCAACUAUUAUAAAAAAAACAAACAUAGAAAAUANNNNNNNNNNNNNNNNNNNNNNNNNNNNNNNNNNNAUUUAAAAAUAUUUUUCUGUUUUUAAAAAUAAAAACUAUUUUUAAAAUUUUAUAACAUUGUUCGACCAUUGGUAUAUCAAAACAAAUUUUGAAAACAAAGUAAAAUAUAUAAAAUAAAAAAAAACAAUUUUUACAUAACAAAGAAAAGUUGUUUCCAUCAAUUUUUGAAAAUAAAAUGAAAACAUGACUUAUUUUUAAGUUAAAGAAUAAAAAAUAGUUUUUAAAAACAAAUUUAAGAAAAAAAAACGUAAAAAUACAGACCCUUAAUAAAUAUUUUAUGUUUUUGUCAUAGUUCCUCAAUAGCUAAAUUCAAGAAUUGAAAAAGAAUGGAACAAGGCAUUUGAAUCCAUAUGCUUAGGAACCAAGCACGUUCCACAAAUUGUAUCGCUUUGUUUUUUACACUUUUUUUUCCCCUCCUUUCCUUCAUGAUUUUUAAAAAUCAACAAAAGUAUAGGAGAUGCACAACAUUUUGGUAAUGUGUAGGGCUUUAAAUUGGUGGCCCAAGAGGAACCUUGUGUCACAGGCUAAUCUCUAUUGGGCUGAAGAAGAGUCCAAGGUUUAAGAUCCAGUAGCUCAGUUUCUUGUGACUCUGGGCUGGCAUUUUGUGGUACAGAAUCAGCCCAGUAUGAGCCCAUGUCUAACCCACUUACACAGUCACAUCAUACGACACGUCUGUGAUCACGUAUGUUUGACUACAACUUGGCUGAGUUAAACCUCAUCCAAAAUUGGCCUAUGAGUUUUCAAAUAAAAUAAUUAUAUUUUUUCCGAUUUCCUAUGAAUUUUCAAAUAAAAUAAUUAUUUUAGAACUUACAAAAUAUGAGUCAGUGUUAUAAAAUAAAAUAUUAAAAUUAGGAGGCUGCUAGUCGACCAUCUGAUUUAUCUAACAAUUUUUAGAAAAUAAAUAAAAAUUAUUUUCAUCAUUUUCUUUAAACAAAAGAAAAAUAUCAAAAAAAUUUAAAAUCAUGAAAAAUAAAGAAAUAAAAUUCAACAUUAUAUCAUUCUCUUUUCCCAUUCACAAUAUAAUAUUUAUAUUACAAAUCUUAAAAGAUAAUAUUUCUUUAAAUUAUAUAUAUUUUUCGGAAUUACUUUAACUUUUUUUUAAAAAAUUCAUAUUGACUCUAUGAUUUUUUUUAGUAUAUAAUUAUAUUUUUAUAAUGAACUUCAAAUCAAGUAACACUUUGUAUUGAAUUUAUUAAUAAGUUUUAAGAAUUUUUUAAAAUAAUUUAGAACUCAAAAAAUAUAUAUAAUCAUUUAAAAAAUAAUAAAUUAAAAUUAAUAUAUAAUGAGUCAUAAUUUUACUAUUUAUCUCAUACACACAAAUAUAUUUUUUGAAUUUAGGUAAAUAAAAUAAAAUUUAAAUUUAAGGAAGACAUAAUUAAUAAUUUAAAUUAUUUAAUUUUUUUAAGAAUAAUUUUAUUUUGUAGAAAACUUAUAUCACAUGAUGACUAUUAAUUUGCCAUAUAUUAAAUUAAUUAUGAGCAUUUGAUCUGAUUUGAUUUUUUUUCAUUAAUCCAUAAUUAACUUAAUUUGAAUAUAUCCCUUUCAAAAAGUUAUUCAUUUUUUAAACUUUAUUUUUUUUUUUUGUCAAAAAAAUUAUAAUUUAGUCUUCUUUAAUCGUGAAAUUAGAUGUGUCAAAUUUUUUUAACACGUUUGAUAUUUUUUCACAAGUUUGUUGAAAAAUGUUUAUAGUCUAAUGCUAGUUUAUUACUCCUUUUUUAAGAAGCUCUUCAAGCUUUCAAAGAUUCGAAAAAUAAGGUUGAAGGUUUGAAGAACAAAUUUUAAUAUUUGAGGUUCAAUUUCAAAACAUCUUCAAUAUGAGAUCAAACAUUCACAUUCACAUUCGUGGUCAAUGUUAUUUAACUCCACCUAACGUCCAGGCCCAAGCCUAAAUUAAGAUAAACUCCAGGCCUAACUCCAACCAAGGUCCAAGGUUAAGCAUUGGUCUAGGUAUGGUCUAAGCCCAAGCCCAGGUAUAAUUACAGUCUAAGUUUGACCCUAAGUCAAGCCCAAGUCCAGCUUUAAUCAUGCCAAGGAAUAGGUUUAUCCAACCAAGGUUUAAGUCUAAACCCUAAAAUAGAGUUUGGUAAAAUUUCAGAUUUAUUUUGUUGAUAAUUGAAGUUAUUUUUUAAGUUAAAUUAUUUUGAAGUUGUUGAUUUGAAACUUACUAUUUAAUUUUCACUUGAAGUAUUAAAGUUGUUUGAUAAAGUUGAAUUAAAUUUAUUCUCAAUUAUCAAAUUAACUUAUUUACAUUAAUUUUAACUAAUAUUUACUUUGAUUAAUCUUGAUUAAUAAAUUUAUUUGUUAAACAUAUUUUUGCAUAAAUAUAAGAUAACCUUUACUUUUUCUAUUCAACAAAAAAAUUUAAACCAAAUUGGACUCACGUGAACACGAGGGAGAUAAGUUAGGGCUCCCUCGACUCUCUCACACCUCUCCACAAGCCCAUGAGGCUAAGGGAGGUGGGUUAGUAUAUAAACCCACUAAGUGCUUUAUCACUUUCCAAUGUGGGAAAACAAUCCCACACACAAGCACUCUACCAACAAAAAUGGUUUAAUGGUUUGAUUUUUAAAAUUAUUUUUCAUUUUUCAAUUAAAUAUAAUUUCAAGAAAAAAAAAAUGGCAACUAUUAUAAAAAAAAACAAAUAUAGAAAAUAUUUUGAAACCAAACACAACCUAAGAACUUAUUUGGUUGUGUAAUUUAAAAAUAGUCUUCUGUUUUUAAAAACAAAAAUCUAUUUUUAAAAUUUUAUAACAUUGUUCGACAAUUGUUAUAUGAAAACAAAAUUUUAAAACAAAGCAAAAUAAAAAACAAUUUUUAAAUAACAAAUAAAAGUUGUUUCCAUCAAUUUUUGAAAAUAAAAUGAAAACAUGACCUGUUUGACCAUUUUUUUUAAACUUGUUUUUAAGUUAAAGAGUAAAAAAAUAGGUUUAAAAAACAAGUUUUUUUUUUUUUUAAACUUGGCGAUACAGACCCUUAGUAAAUAUUUUAUGUUUUUGUCAUAGUUCCCCAAUAGCUAAAUUCAAGAAUUGAACAAGGCAUUUGAACCCAUAUGCUUAGGAACCAAGCACAUUCCACAAAUUGUAUCUCUUUGUUUUUUACACUUUUUUUUUUCCCCUCCUUUCCCUUCAUGAUUUUUAAAAAUCAACAAAAGCAUUGGAGAUGCACAACAUUUUGGUAAUGUGUAGGGCUUUUAAUUGGUGGCCCAAUAGGAACCUUGUGUCACAGGCUAAUCUCUACUGGGCUGAGGAAGAGUCCAAGGUUUAAGAUCAAGUAGCUCCGUUUCUUGUGACUUUGGGCUGGCAUUUUGUGGUACAGAUCAGCCCAGUAUGAGCCCAUGUCUAACCCACUUACAAAGUCACAUCAUACGACACGUCUGUGAUCACGUAUGUUCGACUACAACUUGACCGAGUUAAACCCCAUCCAAAAUGGGCCUAUGAGUUUUCAAAUAAAAUAAUUAUAUUUUUUCCGAUUUCCUAUGAAUUUUCAAAUAAAAUAAUUAUUUUAGAACUUACAAAAUGUGAGUCAUGUUAUAAAAUAAAAUAUUAAAAUUAAGAGGUUGCUAGUCGACCAUCUGAUUUAAGAUAAAGAACAAUUUUUGGAAAAUAAAUAAAAAUUAUUUUCAUCAUUUAAUAUAUAUAUAUAUAUAUAUAUAUAUAUAUAUAUAUAAAAUAAAUAAAUCAUUAAAAAUAAAUAAAUAAAAUUCAACGUUAUAUCAUUUUCUUUUCCUCUUCACAAUAUAAUAUUUAUACUAAAUCAAGUGACACUUUAUAUUGAAUUUAUUAAUAAAUUUUAAGAAAUUUUAAAAAUAAUUUAGAAUUCGAAAAAUAUAUAUAAUCAUUUAAAAAAUAAUAUAUUAAAACUAAUAUAUAUAUAAGGGAGAAUUGUGUUUUGGGCCCAUCUGGGCCCAAAAAUUAACAUUUGGUCCAUAUAUCAUGUAUAUUUAAGCUCAAGACUCAAACAAAGUAUGAAAAUUAAGAUGAAGGAUAUUAUCUUUCAUUAAUCCAUAAAAUACCUUUAACCCUUACAUAGGCACAAGUGAGUGUGAAUUUCAAUUUUUUUGUGUAUUUUUUUUCCCUUUUCUAUUCCCUAUGAAGUAUUACUCAUUUCUAACUUUUUUUUUUCUUUUUCUUCCGAUCUAUAUUUUUAUUUUAUGUCAAAUAAAAAGCAAUAAUGUUUUUUUGUUUUUCAUUUUUAAAGAUAUUGAAUCUUUUUGCUCUUAUUAUAAAUAAUGAUAAAAAUUUUGGGAUUUUUCAUCCAAAUAUUUUUUAUCUUUUUGUAUUUAUCUUUUAGUUUAAUUUUCAUUUUUUAUUUGAAAUUUAUAUUACCCUUUCAUUUAUAUUUUUCUCUUAUUUUUUUUUAUAUUUUCUACAUUAAUCAUAUUUUAAAAUUUUUUUAAAUUGACUAUCACUUCACUUUAUUAUAUAUAUAUAUAUAUAUAUAUAUAUAUAUCCUUUUAGCUUUUUAAUUUUUAAUGUUUUUAAUUUAAAAUUUUUAAAAAGAUAAAUUUAUUGAAAAAAAUAACUAAAAUAUGAAGUUCUAAUAUUAUAUUAAUAUUUUUUUCUUAUUUAAAUAGACUAAGGCAAAGUAUUUUAAUUUACAACAAGAAAAUUGUCAAUAUUAGUUAAACUUUAAAAAUUAAAUUUCAAAUAAAAUAUAUUAUAUAAAAUUUUAUCUAAAAAUUAUUGAAAGUGGUAUUUAAUUUUUUUUAUUAACUUUCAAACUUAUCUAAUUUUUUACUUGAAAUGUAAUAGAACAUGUUUACAAAAAAAAAAAUUAGUUUUUUAUUUUUUUAAAUAAAUGAGUAUAAAUAUAUUAAAAGAAUUAAAGAUAAUCUUAGUAAAAAAAAUUUGAUAAAUAUGAUUAUAAUUUUAAAUAUGCUUUUUUAUUUCAAACUUAUAUUAUUUCUUAUAUAUAUUAAAUAAUUUUUAAACACCUCAUAAAAUAUUAGUAUUAUUUGUUUGUUUUAACUUGUAAAUUAGGUAUCAUCAAAUAUUAUAUUUUUUCAAAUUUAUAGAACAUAUAAUAAAUACUUUUUAAAUACCUCAUAAAAUAUUAUUAAUUUUUUUUCUAACUUAGACACAUGGUGUUUAUUAUUUCGAAAAUAAUGUAAACACUCACAUGCAUAUAUAUAUAUAAUCAAUAAGACAAUAUUUUUAAUACUAAUUUACCAACCUUUCAAUAAUUUAAAAAGUGUAAAUAGGGUAAUUGGCCGAAUUAAAGUCUUCGAAAUAUUCAAAAUUUCUUCAUUCCAAAAUUACCUAAUUGUUCUCCACACAAAUCUUAAAUAUUUUUUAAUAAAGAUUUAAAUAUUUAAAAUCAUUAAAAUAAAUAUUUUCUUAUUAAAGCAAUAUUUUCAAAGUAAUAAAAUAAAAAUCAUGAAAUCUUCAAAACUAUAAUUACAAAAAAUAUUUUUAACUUUAAAACUAAUUUCAUAAUUUAAAUUAAUGGUUUAAAAAAAUAAAAAUGUUAUAAAAAUAAUUUUUGUUUAUUUUUAAUUCCAUUUAAAUAUGAUUUUUUUUUUUUUUAAUCUCUAUUGAUAACAAUGAAAUUAUGUUUAUAAAGGUAAAAUAGUAAAAAAUAUAUAUUUCAUUUAGUUUACUUAUAAUGAACAAUUCAAACAUGAUUAUUUUAAUUUUAUUUCCUUUGUGUUAAUUUUUGUAGGGAAUGUCUUAAUGACAUAGUUUGAUAAAAAAAGAAAAACAAAACUAUCAAUAAUCCUCUUAAUGUCAAAUUCAAGUUGUUUAAAAAUCAUACAAAACCUAUUAGAAGUCUUGUACACCCUUGUACACUUAGCACAUUUCCCUUAUAUAGUUAGUGUAAUACUCUUAUAUAAUAACACAAAUUUCAUAUAUCUCCUAAUUUAUAUGUCCAUGUAUGUGUAUUAAUCAUAUUUUCAAUGGUUUGAUUGAGAAAAUGGUGGAUGACUUAGGGUCAAUUUUUUUUCCCCCAAAUCUCAUUAUUGGGAAAAAUAUUGGAAUUUUCAUGUGAGAGUUAAAUAAAGUACAUGACAUAGGUGUACAAUCAUUGGGUGACAAGGAAAAUAAAAAAGUAGUUUAGAAUCAAUUAAAAUCAUUCACAAAGGGUAAUAUGGUACACCUUUGUACAAUUAGUACAUUUCCCUUAUACAAUGACACAAAUUUUAUAUCCCUUCUAAGUUAUGUGUCCACAUAGGAGUGUUUAACCAUAUUUACAAUGAUUUAGUUGAGAAGAUGGUAGAUGAUUUAAGGUCAAAAUUUUUUUUCUCCAAAUAUUAUUAUUAGGAAAAAUAUUGGAAUUUCCAUGCGGUAAUUAAAUAAAGUGCAUGACAUAUGUGUACAAUUUGCGAGUGAUAAAAAAAAAGUAAAGGAAUGACUCAUAAUCGAUUAUAAUAUUUCACAAAAAGUAGCCUUGUACAUUUUUGUACACUUAGUACAUUUCCCUUGUACAGUUAGUAUAAUACAAUUAUACAGUGUCACAAUAAAUAAAUAAAUAAAAUUUAUUAUUAUUUUUAUUUUCAUAUAAAAAAAUAGUACUAAACAGGUUUUCAAAUUUUAUUUUAAAAAAUAGUUUUCAUUUUUUAAUUAAAAAUAUUUUCAAAAAGAGACAAUAUAGAAAAUAAAAUUUAUUUUUAAAAAUAAAAAAUAAAAACUAGAAAAAAAUUUUAAAACCAAACUCAAAUAUAAUUUAUAUAAUUUUUAACUACUUGUUUUCAUCUAAAAUAAGUAAAUAUACCUUUCAACCUUUUUAUAUAAGAAAAAUUCAAUAUCUACUAUGUUUUGAUAUAAUCCACUUCUAAAGUUAAGUCAUAUGAAAAUAUUUUAAUUGAGUACUUAAAAUAAAAACUUUCCAUCCAUCAUUUUUUUUUCUUAUUUUAAUAAAUUUUCAAUUAAUUCAAAUCAUUAAUAAACAAAUUUAUAACAUUUUAUAUAACUUAUUACUAAAAGUCAUGUUCAAAAAGUUAUUAAAAUAAGGAAGAAAAAAGAUUAAAAAAACUUAAACUUUUUAUUUUAUAAUAGUAAAAAAAACUUAAAAUACUUUUUAAUAAAAAAAAUUAAAAUAGUGAAUAUAUUUAUUUUAAAUAGUAUUUUAAUAAUUAAAUUAUUUACUUCUAAAAUGUAAAAGAUAAAAAUAAAUGUAAAAUAUAAUUUUUAUUUAUUUAAAUUAGUAUUUUUUUAGAAAGUAUUUUCCAAAAUAGUCUUUGAAUCAUUAAUAUAAUUUUUGUUUAUUUAUAAUUUAAAAAUAAAAAAAUAAUGUUGUUUUUUUAAUUAUUUAUAAAAGAGUUUAAAAAAAUAAUGAAAAAUCCAAAAAUGGUUAAAUAAGAAAGAAUAGUGGCAUGUAAAAGGUGGUAGAAUAAAGACAAAAAUGAGUCAAGUGGGUAUUUUUAUCUAUUCCUAUCUCAUAUCCUUGUAAUCAAUUAUGGGCGUUUGAAGGACUCUUUAUUAAUUAUCAAAGCCAAAUGGGUCUAAAGCCCAAUUCUCCCUAUAUAUAACGAGUCAUGAUUUUAUUAUUUAUUUCAUACACACAAAUAUAUUUUUUGAAUUUAAGUGAAUAAAUUAAAAUUAUAAAUUAAGGAAGACAUAAUUAAUAAUUUAAAUUCUUUAAUAAAUUUUUUAAUUUUUUAAAGAAUAAUUUUGAAUUAAAAAAACCGAUCUAAUUAGUUACAAAUUAAAUCAAAACAAUAUUAUGUUCAUAAUUUAAUACUAAAUGUAUACAUGAAAUGAAAAUUUUGACUCAUUUAUAUAUUAAAAAAGUUAAAGUUUAUUCAUUAUUCAUUUAAAAAAUAUUAUUAUUUGUGUUUAAUAAUUUUUUUUAAUGAAAAUAUUAAUAUAUUUAUAUUUCUAACCCAAUUCUUCCUAUAUAUAAUGAGUCAUGAUUUUAUUAUUUCUUUCAUACACACAAAUAUAUUUUUUGAAUUUAAGUGAAUAAAUUAAAAUUAUAAAUUAAGGAAGGCAUAAUUAAUAAUUUAAAUUCUUUAAUAAAUUUUUUAAUUUUUUAAAAAAUAAUUGUGGACCCCGCAUUUUCGGCUCAUGCGUUUUCCACUUGAUGGCGAGUUCGAUUUUUAUUUGAAAAUUUGAUUUUUAUUUGAUUAAGAAAAAUGACUUAGAGUCACCACUUAUUUUUGUUUUAUUUUAAAAGGGUAAACAAAAUAAGAAAGAAAAACCCUAAGUGUGACUCCUUACUUUGGAAAAGGUGGUCUGUGAAAAACCGGAUCGGGUUCGGGGGUCAGGUUACUUAUCGGGAAGGUACGGUAACGACCGUAACACCCCUCUAAGUCCCUAAAGUCGGGUCUCUACUAAUAAAAUGGAGCUAACAUGACAAUCAAUGAGAAAAUCAAUGAAUACUCGAAGCAAUCAUGCACAUAUGGGAAUCAAAACAUGUAUAAAGAAUGAACAAAAUAUGAGUGGAUACGUACCUGGUCCUCCAAUCACGAAUGCGCUAUCAUGAAACAGGAUUAGUGAAUCACAAAUAGAUAAAAUUAUGCGCAUGUCAAGGAACAGAAUAAAUCAAACAAAAUAAAUAAAUCAAUCAAUCAAUCAUAAAAUCACAUAUGUGGGGCCCCCACCAAAGCCCGAUUUAUAUUGCAUGAAUUAAUCCCAUAAAUUCCAUUAUUCGGAAUUACGAAAAAUUCGUUCAUGCUUAUUAAAAUUAAGAGAAACAUGAGAUUAUUUUAAAACCAGAAUGGAAUUAAAACUGUUCGAGUGAAGACUGGAUUUUUGAAAUUUGUUUGAAUAUGGAUAUGGUACUGCUCUGAACGGAAGGUGAAAUGGGUCACAGUCUCGAAAUCCCUAGGUCGAUCUCCUGAUCCUAGGUCAAUAGGCUCAAUAUCCUCCAUGAUAGGUCAGGCCAGAGUGAUCAUGACGCGCAAAUGAAUAGAUGUCCCAAGUAAAAAGUACAACACAUCAUUUGAUAUAUGGUCCUGUGAUGGCAACCUAAAAUUGGAAAUAUGACAGAAACUCUAAGGUCAUAAAGGUGUCCACUGUGAGAUGGCUGCAAAUGUGACCAGAGAAUCUCCAUCAAUAAUCCGAUAUAAAGAGAGGUGUGAAAAACACACUAUCACGAGAUCGGUACUCCAUCAAUAAACAUAUAUCUUUAACUCAACUUUCGACUCGAGCUCCAUAAGAGGAAAAUAAUAAGGUGAUCAAGGUGACUCUCUCGAAAAAAGUGUGAAUAUGAAAACGUGUCUUUCACCUUUCCGUAAUGAAAAUAUGAGCAUCGAGUCGAAAAUUGAAUCAAGGAUCAAACAAAGAAUGAGGUAUUGGGCUCGUGAUAGGUGUACAAUGCAAAAACAAGAUGAUCAUGAUCAAUGAACAUAUCCUGAAGCAUCCAGUGAGUGACAGCAAAGUGAAAAGAUGUGUCAAGCCAAGAAAGAAAAACGAAAGCCCUAGGGGGAAAGCAAGACAAACUCAUCGAGUGAAAAGAACAAACUAAAGUGACAGGACAAAGGUGAUCCAACCGAUACUCAAACUCGUACUGAACUCUGAGCACUCUCAAUUGGAGACUAAAAAGAAAGGAGUAACAAAUCCAACUAUGACUACAGAGGCUCUGAAGGCUCUCAGAUGCACCCACGUGUGAGGAAGGAGUCCUAAUCGAAGGAUAUACGGCUCAACCUACGAGGUGAAGGUGGCUCUAAAUGAAUAUGGGUGGAUUUUAAAGAUCCAUAGCAGAAGCGAUCGUACCCUCCAGCGGCACGCAACCCUCUGCACGCCUCAGAAGAGACGGGGCGCUUCCAUGCAAGGUGGACAUCACAUCCACACAUGCACUACCUCAACAUCCCAGGGGGUUUCCUAUGGUGAGACCUCUCAAAACUCUCAACGCUCAAUGGUCGACUAGAGUGCACAGUGAACGAUGCGGGUGCAUCCGAAAACCCUAUGAAACUAAAAGAGAAUACACUGGCCACACAAAUAUCCUGAAAUCUAGCUCUGAGCUAUAUAAGUCUUUGAAGUUCGGACUCUAAUCAGUAUCAAUAUGUCGACCACCUCCAGAAUGCUCCAAAACAUAGACAUAGCCCAUCGCUAGACCCUACUUCUAAUCACUAGCUCGGUCGAAGAACAAACAAAGCAAACAAGCCCCGUAUCAAAUAUGAGACCAAGGAAAACGAUGCCAACCGAGACUAGGGAUUUGGAGAUAAAGGGAUAGGUGUGUGUCCCACAUAGACAUGCAACUCACGCAAUCACAUCAAAAUGAGAGGUGUCAUGCAACAGACAGUCAUGCAAAACAGGUAUAUAUCAUCCAAAUCUACACAAGAGCUAAUCGAGGAGAAUAUCUGGCAAAUGAUAAUCAAGAUAAUAUAUAAUCAAGAGAAUCAAUCAUGUCAAAUCAAAUGAUAUACAAUGGCGAGUCUAUACAUGUGAAGUGAUCAAAACAAACAUGACAAAAUCAGGGUCACUAUGUUAAACAAUGCAAGAUAAUCGAUCAAUGCAACUAGCAUAUCAAUGUCCCUAAUAGAUAUAGCAGUGAUGCACAAAAAGAAUCGCAGCAUCGGAAGCCCAAAUCAAGGCAAUCGAUCAUCAUAAUCAGCAUAUCAAUGUCCUAAAUGAGUACAAUAUCCAAUCAUGCAUUCAAUGAUAUCAAAGAACUCUCAAUGUGCAAUCACGAGACAGGUACCCACUGAUCGACCUAUCAAUUGCCACGUUUGCUUCAUCCUAAGUUCAAGCUUGACCCUCUAAAAGAUCCCCAGUGGAGUCGCCAUUUUGUGGACCCCGCAUUUUCGGCUCAUGCGUUUCCCACUUGAUGGCGAGCUCGAUUUUUAUUUGAAAAUUUGAUUAAGAAAAAUGACUUGGAGUCGCCACUUAUUUUUGUUUUAUUUUAAAAGGGUAAACAAAAUAAGAAAUAAAAACCCUAAGUGUGACUCCUUACUUUGGAAAAGGUGGUCUGUGAAAAAUCGGAUCGAGUUCGGUGGUCAGGUUACUUAUCGGGAAGGUACGGUAACGACUGUAACACCCCUCUAAGUCCCUAAAGUCGAGUCUCUACUAAUAAAAUGGAGUUAACAUGGCAAUCAAUGAGAAAAUCAAUGAAUACUUGAAGCGAUCAUGCACAUAUGGGAAUCAAAACAUGUAUAAAGAAUGAACAAAAUAUGAGUGGAUACGUACCUGGUCCUCCAAUCACGAAUGCGCUAUUAUGAAACAGGAUUAGUGAAUCACAAAUAGAUAAAAUUAUGCGCAUGUCAAGGAACAGAAUAAAUCAAACAAAAUAAAUAAAUCAAUCAAUCAAUCAUAAAAUCACAUAUGUGGGGCCCCCACCAAAGCCCGAUUUAUAUUGCAUGAAUUAAUCCCAUAAAUUCCAUUAUUCGGAAUUACGAAAAAUUCGUUCAUGCUUAUUAAAAUUAAGAGAAACAUGAGAUUAUUUUAAAACCAGAAUGGAAUUAAAACUGUUCGAGUGAAGACUGGAUUUUUGAAAUUUGUUUGAAAAUUGGAGUAUUAGGAAUUAAAUUUAAGAAUUGGAAUUUUGGAAGUUAAGUUCACAAAUUGGAUUUAUUUAAAAAUUGGAAUUUAUUUAAAGAUGGAAUUUUCAAAAAUAAAUAAUUAAGGUGAAUAAAAUAAUAACAAUAGCAAAAAUAAUAAUGAUUAGAUAAAGAAAUGUGAAAAAUGGAAUUUUGAAGGAUUAUUUAAAAUGGAAUUCUUUUAAAAAUGCAUGAAUCAACAAAUAAAUGGAUAUAAUAAUAAUGAAAGUAACAAUAAUUAAUUAAAUAAUAUGGAAAUUGGAAUUCUGAAAAAUUGGAUUUUUGAAAAUUAGAUUUUGAGAAUUAAAGUUUCGGAAAUUAAAUUUAAAAAUUGGAGUUUUAAAACUUAUUUGAAAACAAUUUGAAAUUUUUGUAAAAUUAGUUGAGAAUUGAGAUUUUGAAAAUUAGAUUUAAAAACCUAAGUUUUAAAAAUUUUAUUUGAAAACGUGAAGUGGAAAUUAAAAAAGAGAUGAGAGCAUUUAAUAAAAAAAAAAAAGAAAAUGGGUCCAUUGUCUGCAGGCCUCAAUAUUUUAUAAUGGGUUGUGUACUACUUUGUUGACUUUUGUUUUUUUUUUAUUUGUUUAUUUGUUUUUGCUUCAGCCUUUGCUAGAGACCUUCACAGUAGAGAAGCCCAUUUUCUGAUUUUUUCGAAACAGCGCUAAAAUUUCUGGGCAUGACUGGUUAUGGAUGGAGAGACCCAUUUUCAGGCGACAUCCGUGGCCAAGGUGGGUGGAAUUAACAGAAGUGAAAAGCAUGAUUUCGGGCAUCAAACUCAAAUAAAACAGAGACAAAAAUAAUUCCAACAACACCAAAAUGAAGAAAACGAAAUGAACUAAAGCUCAGUCAAUGCAACUCACGGAUCAGUUAAAUAUGCUCUCUGAUUCGCACUUGGAAAAUCCCGAAAAUCCCUUUUGCUGAAAAUCCUUUUUCAACCUCCUCUUUCCCAGCUCCUCUCUCUCUCUCUUCCCGUUCCUCUGUUCUGCUCUCCAGAUUUUUUUUUUCCUUUACCUCGCCUUCCAGCCCCCAAAACUCCCAGCUGCUGCCCGUCCUCCUUUCCAAUGCAUGUGCUGCCCGGUUUUCUUCUUCUCCCCUAGCUGCUACCCAUUUUCUCCUCUAAAAUCAACGAAACUCCUGAAACAGCCGAACCUCUUCUCUCACCAAACGCUCAGCUCUCUGCCUCUUAGUUUUCUCUCAAACUAAAAAAACCACCAAAAAUCCUCUAUCAACCUCUCUUCUAGCUAGCCUCCAUCCUCCAGAAAAUAUCCCCCCUUCUCACAGCCGAAAGGAACCCCCCUCAAAAUAUCUCUCUUCCUGUUCCUCCAGAAAAACCCCCCUCUGCAGCUGAAAAUCUCUCCCCCUCUCAACGGCCAGACCGCUUCCCCUUUCUUUCUCGCACCAGCUCCUCUUUUUUCUCCCCUCUUUUCUUUUUUUUUUUGUCUUCCUCAGCAAGUCAUCACCAGCUCCACUGCACCUCCCGUCAGCAAGGAUGGCCUCCAUCAUCAACAUGACAUCUCUGCUCCUCUCCCGUGGGGUCCCCUACCCCUUCAAACAAUAUAAUGAAAAUUCCAAAAAAAAAC
rnacentral:lncRNA from 1 species